rnacentral:lncRNA from 1 species
GAGAGAGAGAGAGGUGUUUGCAGAAACAUAGCAGGAGAAAGUAAGUGAGACGUAGGACAAUAGGAGAGAAAGAGAGAGAGAGAGAGAGAGAGAUAAAUUUCAGGGGUAUGUAAGUGAAGAGAGAGAAAUGAUUAGGUUUAGAAAGAGCAUAUUUUUUUCAUAUUUAUUUAGGUUAAAAAAUAGGCUUAAAGUUGUCACGAGGUUCGAAUAUAUCUUUUGAAACCUUGAAUUAUUUCGUUUAAAAAAUAGGUUUAAAGUUAUCACGGGGUUUGAAAUAUAUCUUUUGAAACCUUGAAUUUAUCAAGAAAUGAAAUUUAAAAAUAGAAGAUAUAGAGAUAUUUUCUCUUUAAAAAUUUAAGAAAUAAAAAUUUAAAAUAGAGCAUGUAGAGAUAUUUUCCUUUUAAAGCCGUCCUAUAAACCGGGUCCAAAACAAAAAGCAAACCGCGAGGUUCGAAUAUAUCUUUUGAAACCUUGAAUUAUUUAGGUUAAAAAAUAGGUUUAAAGUUGUCACGGGGGUUGGAAGAUAUCUUUUGAAACCUUGAAUUAAUAAAAAAAAAUGAAAUUUAAAAAUAGAAGAUAUAAAGAUAUUUUAUCUUUAAAAAUUCAAGAAAUAAAAUUUAAAAAUAAAACAUAUAAAGAAAGAUAUUUUCCCUUUAAAGCCGUCAUAUAAAUCGGGUCCAAAUUUAAAAAUAAAACAUAUAAAGAAAGAUAUUUUCCCUUUAAAGCCGUCAUAUAAAUCGGGUCCAAAACAAAAAAGCACACCGAGGGAUAGCGCCGUCUGUGGGGGUCGAACCCACGACCACGUGGUUAAAAGCCACGCGCUCUACCACUGAGCUAAGACGGCUACGUACGUGUUUUACGGUGAGCGAAGUAGAUGUAGAAUACCAUUAGAUUAGCCGACAAAUACUCCACCUCUAGGGCUGGCGAAAUCCUUAUCCCAGGAUAAACUUUACGCUGUUAUACACAGCACCAAUUACCAUUACACAGCAGAGGGAAUGCACCAUUUCCACGGUAAACGGCCGCUUUUCGGGGUCUGGAUGAGUAUCAUCAUUUUUAAACUGGUUAUUGAAUCGUGAGGGCGUGGUACAGGUAAAAUCCAUCCAAUUACCUUUAGAACCGAGAGGAUCAGAUUAAAUUAAUAGUAAGAGUCCAAUUUCAGUUGGCUAGUUUAAUCAGUUUAAACAACUAGUAAACCCUAUCAAAUAGUGAUUUUGUUUUAUUUUCAACAAAAUCCAAUUUUUACUUUAUAUCAGACUGACUAACCAAUGCUUAUUCUUUGGAGUCGAAAUAAUCAAACUCGCCAGUCAAAUUUUCACAGCUAUAGUCAUGAUCGUUUUUUGAAGUAACGAAUGUCUAUGAAUCACAUGUACAUUCGUUUUUUUCUUUUCUCCACAAGAGUAAUCCAUGGAGAAAUGGAGAUUAGUUGCAACCUCAAUGUACAUUAUGAUUUUUUUUUUUGGAAAAAAAACGCUUUUCGAGUCCUCAAAAGCACAUUUAAAAGCAUUUCGGUAAACGGGCAGUGUUAUCGACGAAAGGGUCCAGGUCCAGAUCCAACUUGGAUCCUACGGGGUCAGGUCGGGUUGACCCAACCGGACCUAGCAUUUAUGUGUAUGGUACAUAUGAAUAUAUGGUAACUAUGUGUUAUAAAAUAUAAACCAUAUUUGUUCUUUUCUCAACCCACUUGAACCCGACCAAGGUCUAGGUCUGGUCUAGGUCCAGACUGAUGUAAGAACUCGUCCUUUUGAAAAACAACAUAUAAUAGGUUCAAAAUGAGCUUUGAUUCUCAAACUUAUAAAUAUGAACUCAAGAGACACCAAGGUUGCAACCAAGCUUACACCCCAAGGGACAAAUUCCCAAAGAUUUGGAAACAAACUUCUCAGUUAACGUAGUUUAACACUGUUAAAACAUUCCAAAUUACAUUUCUUUCUCAAAUGAGGUAUCCAUUGAAGUUCCCAAAAGCCAAGAUCGUUUAAACAGCAAAGAAACGCAUACAUAGAUAGCACAGGCAUUUGGCGGUAAGGAGAGAGAGAAUGUUCACUUUCAUUAGCAAGAAGUCGGGCUUUGAGGACCUCCCUUCACUUCCAGCAUUACUGAACUGCUUAAUGCCAGUGAAAAAUCAGAAUAGCAAAACUGCGAAUACUCGGAUAUGCCGCUUUGGGAGUCUUAAAAACGAAGAAUUUUCUAUCCAACAUGAUCACAAAAUUCAACCACUACCAUAGGCAUUGCUUCUCUACGGCCUGUACAAACACACAUAUCUUAUGUGUUAAUCAAACACAAAAUCAGAAACACUCUCUCUCUCUCUCUCUCUUCUCUCUCUCUCUCUGGGUCAGUGUUCGCAAAAUCGGCCGGUUAGAAUCGGAACCGGCCUGUUAGAUCGCUACCGGUGGAGUGACGAUUCCGGUUAGGGUCAGUUUUAAAGUACACCAAAUAAGACGGCACUCUCCAAAAAAAAUCGGGACAAAACCGUCCGGUUCAAUGUCGAACCGGUGGUUUUUCUUCAAAACCGGCCGGUUUUCCUAAUCGGUCCGGUUUACCGUUGUUUUCAUCCGUUAUAACACCAUUUUAAUGCAUAAAAUAACGGUCGUUAUUUUUAUACAUACCUGUUAUUUUUCAUAUAACAAGAUUUUGUAGUUUUUUUUUUUCUUCCAUUUUGUAAUUUUCUUUUUGGUUUUUUCGGUCAAAGAUUGAUUUUAUACACCGUAAAGUUUCAAUAGACCAUCGAUUAUUGAAUCAAAAGUCAAAAAACAAAGAGCUCUUGGCGGAUUGAAAUGGGGAUUUUUCAAAAUUAAAAAUUUCUGCCAUUCUAUCAAAUGCAGCUUUAAUACCUCAUAAAUUUUCAUAAAAGUGGAGGGCUUUGAUUGAUUAUUAAAGGAUUCAAUGUUUACAUAUUUCAAUUUUUCCAAAACGAUGAAGAUUUGAGGUUUUUUUGCGCCCGAAGUACUGUCGUGCGAAGAAUUGCUUUUAUCCUAACAAAUUGAUUUCUGAUCGAUUUUUAUCCAAUUGAUUACUGAAGUUUGAUCAUAAAAGCCUUAUCUAUCAAAUAAACUAGUUAUUUUGAUUUACUAUUGAUUAAAUGUUUUUAUAUCAACUUUUUUUGCUGUGUUUUUUCCUGAAAUUUUUGUGAAGUGAAAAAAUUGCAAUUUUUUUUAAUAAAGAUCUCAAUAGUGAAUAAAUAUUCAUGAAGUUUGGGGAAUUUGAAUCUUAAUUGAAGUAUCUAUCAUAUCCCCCAUGUCGAUUUAUUCAAAAAAUGAAAGAUUUGAGGUUAAUUUGUGAUGAAUAUAAGAAAAAAAGAAUAUAUUCUUUUUUUUUUAAUUUUAUAUAUUUUUUUGGUGGGCUUGUUGGAUUGUUUUUAAUGUUAUAUAUUUUUUACAAAAAUAUGUUUUUUUGUGAUGAAUAUGAGAAAAGAAUAUUUGUUUCUUUUUAAUGUUAUAUAUUUUUGGUGAGUUUGUCGGAUUGUUUUUAAUGUUUUAUAUAUAUAUAUAUAUAUAUAUAUAUUAUAAAAAUAUUUUUUGUGAUAAAUAUGAGAAAAAAAUUGUUUCUUUUUAAGGUUAUUUUUGGUGUAUGUUAUUGAUGUCUGUGUUCUCAACUUCCUGUUUAGUUGUAACAUUUUUUUCUAAUUUGUUUUUUUUAUUUGUUACAAGCUAUCUAUCAUUUCAUUUGUUGCAACUUCAUACUCUUUAAAUCUGUUUAUUAGCCCUUAUGAAAAAAAGAGGUAGAAACUAAAAAGGGUUUUACUCUCCUCUCAUAUUUCCACAUGCUAAACUGGAUAAAAAUUUAAUCUGUUUUUUUUUUAAAUGUGUAUCUUAAUUUUACAUUUUAAAAUUACCAUCUCAUAUAAUUUUUUUUUUUUUUUUUAUGUUAAAACCCAACUCAAAGGUUAGUAAGUAAAUGAAUUUUGGUCAUUUCAAAAUCGAUUUGGCCAUUUGAAAAUUGACUUGGCCAUAAUUUUUAAAAUACGUCAUUUGGCAAUUUGAAGCAGCACUUAAAACCUUGACCCACACUUUGCAUUUGAUAAACAAGUUACUAAUAAAUGAAAUGCUCUCUCUUACUCACAACCCUUUGAAAAAUUGAGAACAUCAUGCUACAAAAAAAUACACUCUCAAACCCAAUUCUAAAUCGUAUUAAAGGGUUUUUCAACAUUAAAACAAAAUUUUUCAACAUCAACAUUAAAACAAUAUAGAAGCAUAUAUUGUUGCAUCAUCCAUUGUUAGUUGGACUUUGUAACUUCACCCAUUGAAUUUAUGUGAAAUUAUAAAUUGAGUUGCAUAUUUUGAUAANNNNNNNNNNNNNNNNNNNNAUAUAAUAUGAUGGUGUAUAUUUAAUCUAAGUUUUUACUAUUUUUUUAAUAUUUGUUUGAGAUUUUGACCUUUUUUUUAAAAAAAUAAAAUCUACUUGACCAAUUAAUCCGAUUAACCGCUUCGAUUAGUCCGGUUCCAGUUCGAACCGCUCCCAACCUCAUGACCGGUUAACCGUUCCGGUUUAAUUUUGCGAACAUUGCUCUUAGUCGACCAAAGCUCUUUUGAAACACUAUUCUAUAAAAUAACAGGAAAUUCCACUCCAUCAUCCUGCAUACGGAACAAACCUUGGAUUUGGCUGCUGCCAUGUCGAAGACCAGUUGGUAUGUGAUAUACAGUUUAGUAGAGCCAACUCAUCGCUGUUCCUUAGGAAUUAGUGGUGGAUACCCUUGUACGUUAGUAUAUACAUUCAUCAGCUGGCGCCUGAUAAAUUUGACACGGAAAAUAUGCCAUGCACUGGUGUAUAUAGUACACCGCAUGCCCCAACAAACUAACCAUGGCUCCUGGUGACGAACGAGGGGAUUGUAUCCAAUAAGACAUUUGCCAAAUGCUAAUUUUUUUACCAUAACACAUGGGAUAUCCUUGUGCAUCACAUACUACUUGGAAAAGCGCAUGCAAUGGAUGGUUCUAUAAACAACGGAUAAUUAUUUUUUAAAAAAUAAUCCACAAAUCCACCUUGUAGGAAAAAAAAUCAUCUUUAAUUAGUUAGCGCUUGACGAUUUGCAAUGCUACCUCCUACGCUCAAUACCUACCAAGGUAGAGGCCCUCUCCCCACUGACUCACCACACAAAAAAACAAAAAAACAAAAUCUCUUCGUUAAAGAUACAAUCCUUAAAAUAAUAGGGAAUAUCUCUUUGUGCACAUGGCGUCCAAUAUAUGUAAUGAGCGUAAGGCAAUUUUAUUAAAACAGGAAUCUCCUUUUCCACUUAAAAUUUCUAUUUAUAUAUUCUAUUUAAAUUUGCAACCAGUGUAAGAUUUAAUUUGAUUGCUGAAAAGUGACCCAAAUAUCCCACUUUAUAGGAUGUCCCAAUAAGUACCCUACCCUAAAGCCUCUCUCCUCGUAAGGUCCUACAUUAGCUGAAUGCGACGCAUCUCCGCACCUAACUGUGACGAUAUAUAUGUACAGGAACACUUCGUAUGAGUUUUGCAUCCAAAAAAUUUGAUAUAGCAAGAGAUAUCCAUACAAAAAUAAUUCAAAAUUAAAUAGCGCGCUUAAAGAUAAAAUUUAUGUCGUUCUACCUAAUCACACAAAGUUCGAAGUGGUAAUGCAUAGCAACUAUUAUGAAGUCCCAAGUGUUCAAAGCUGAUAUUUUUGUUACGUAUUAAAACAUACUAUAUUAGCUACAAACUACAUGCACAAUUCGCAUGUCGGGGGCAUGCGUAUCUAGAAAUGUCAACAUGCAUCUCACCAUAAAACAUGUGUCAACACAAUUAGAAAGGUGUUGACACUGAUUAGAGCUAGGCAUCACCAUAAAACAUGUGUAACACACAAUUAGAAAGGUGUUGACACUGAUUAGAGCUAGGCAUGAAUUUGGCCCAAGCGCAAACAGAUGUAUGAAGAGGCCUUGCUUAAAUUACUAAGGCCCUUGCCUGGUUGUAAACCCCCUUUGUGACCCCAGAAAAGGGUUUAAAAAUGAUCCAUUUUUUAAACUGGUUAUUGAAUCGGUUAUAAAUCCCUUUGCGACUCCCUUUUUAGCAAAUGCCUCCAACUCUGAUGAAAAUAAGAAAACAAAAAGAAAGAAAACGGUACGUAUAUUUAUGAAUAAGUCCCCUCCUUAAGUGGCGUUGUGUGUCAUCUUAAAUCUCCCUAUAAAUUUUUAGCCAGGAAUAUAGCACAUCUGAGAUGCCUGUAGCUUUUCUUAAAGCCCCCAAUUUAUGAUCAUUUAUAUAUUUUUUCAAAAAUCACUAUUGAUCACACACCAAAGCUAAACAACCAUGAUUUUCCAGCAUCUAGUCAAAAACCACAAACCUAAAAGCCGUUUCCUUUUCUGAAACUGGAAUACAAUACAACGUGCAUAUACGACCAGAACUGCAUGCCACUAAUUCCGGCAGCAAAGUUGUUGGACUGCUCGAGUCAAGCAAAACUGGGUUGACAGUACUCUCUCUCUCGCUCUCUCUCUCUCUCUCUCUCUCUCUCUCUUGGGGUACACAAUACAGGAUGAGAGUAGAUAUUGUAUAGGUAAUGCAGUUGACCUGCUAAAUGUCAUGUGCAGACCCAAAGAUGUUUGCUCAAUCUUUUUCAUUAAAAUACAAAAAGUAUUUUUAGUCUUCUUUAUGGGUGUAACAAAAGGUGUGAUUAAAGUAAAAUGCAACAAUAGAGAAGAACUGGGGUGGCAAUGAAAUUUUUCAAAUGGGUGACGGGAAGAAAUAUCAACUCACUGGGACGAAAUGGAGGUUCAUCAUCCAGGAUGAUGUUGGAAGUAAGGAUGCCUCAGAGCAUCAUCAACGCUCAAACGAUCUUCCUGCAAAUGAUAAAUUGGAUCAUAUGAAAAUACCAAUCUCGCAAUAUCACAUUGUUCUAAGUUCUGAUGAAGUACUAAAUGCAUAGGAACUUUUUGCCAAAAGAAAACGAGUAACCGACUAUUUUUAUACACUACAUAGAAAAACAUUACAUAGUUGUCACUACUGUAUUAACAUAAUGCAUGCUAUAGAAAGAUAAUAGAAUUAAAGAAAUUGAAUGGUUUAGUGACAUGGAUAAUUCUGAUUCAUGCCUAGUACCACAAUAUUUUUCAUUUUCAUUACUUUGAUGCUUACAUGGUAAGAAAAUUUGGGAGCUAACCAGAAUCUCAGCUUUGUAAAUAUAGUGAUGCAUAAAAUAAUCCAUGCUUAUGUUUAUGUGCCAAGAAAUGCGACGAAUGCUUAAGCUUGUCCUGUUUAAUUUGCAAGGCACAACAAACUAAAUCUGUAAAGGAAAUUGAAUGCAUGAUUUUGAUGAACAAAUGUUAUCACGUAGUAAAUCCCUACAAAACGAAAAUUUAAGUAACAUCAAAUCACUCACGCCAAAGAACAUCAUAGAUCAAGAAGUGGUCUUCAAAUGGCCUGCUUGACUAUAAUUUAUUAAUAGAUUGGCGAAAUUGUAGCAUUCAAAGUUGAAUAAUAACUUCUACGACAUUUCCACUAGGCAUAGCAUAUUGCAUUUGUUAUGUAUGUUUUUCUAAGGGGUGCGGUUUGUAUAGAGCCGAGGUUCUAAACAAUCAGAGUAGAGCCCACCUUCAAAUAGUGUCGAGAAAUGUGAUUUCGAUACUGGAAAGACAUCAAGAGCAUCAAACACACACAAAGACAGACACACUUAUCAAUGCACAAAUGCUGUAUACAAAUAAAGAUACAUAUAGGUAGGGACAUAAAUACAGAUAAACAGAGAAAACCCACACUACUUAAAAAUCGAAAAGUGGGAUACUUCAACAGUAUGGAGAACCUACAGGGUGCCAUAACAAUAGUUGGCGAACCAAUCGCAAUGCCCAAAUAUUUGGAAACCUGGUAGAUAAUCAGAAACAACAAGAGAGUGACAGAAUCAAAACAAUACUUUUUUUUUGAAAAUACAGAAUAAAAACAAUAGUUGAUAAGAAUGAAAGGAAAGAUAAGCAAAAGCAUUGGGAGAACAUAGAUAUUAGAAGCCAACCCCAGUUUAAGAGGAUCUCUAUUCUUAAUUUGAUCUGAAAAAGCCGCCUCAGAGCAUCUCCAAGAAGCUGGAUGUGCAUCAUCCUAAAUUCCAAUCAAGAUAUCCAAUACACAGUCAAAAUAUUUCUGAAUCUAAUAAGGGGGUGUUUGAUGACUAUGAAAAGGUGGGAAAAUUCAUGAUUUUCCCACCUUUUUGAUUGGACAGGUGAAAGCUGCCCAAAAAAUUUACAUGGGAUUGCCCGUAAUACCCCACAAGUGGGAAAGUCGGGAGACCACGAAGAUAAGUGGUAUGUGACUUUCCCUCUUGUGGGGCAUGAGGGGGAAAGUCACCUCUCCCUCAUUAUGAGCAUUAAUGCUCAUCUUUUUAAAGUGUAAAAAGUUAAAAUUUCAAAUUUUAAAUUUUGUUUCUAUUAAAAGCUUACAAAUACACCCCCUUUCAUAUGUAUUUUGAGUUAUUUAAUAGGAUUGAGACCUCACACAGCCGGGGUCAUCAAUUUUGGAUAGACCCUAGGGUGAGCCUUCCCUAACCUCUCUUCUAAUUCCUACCCCCCAUGCCUACCAUCUUCCCUAAAUGCUAUCUCUUUUUCUUUCUAAGGCUCUCUUUUUCUCUAUCCUCCAAGGGCCUCUCUCUCUCUCUUUGGUAGAUACUUUCUCUAGGAGUACCUCUCUAUAGACUCUUUCCCUAUUAGACCCUAUUAUGAUCAAUUUACAAUUUAUUGAAACUGAAAGUUCCCCACAUGAAACUGAUUGCACAAAUUUUCUAAUCAUGUCAUCAAAUAAGGGAAAUUGACUGCUCCAAUUUUCUAACUAGAAUAUCAAAAUGGGGAAAGUGAUUGCACCAACUUUCCUUAUGUUUUGAGAAAAUCCCAAUUAUUCUCAACAAUUCUUGGUGAAAUAGUAAAAAAGUUCUCAAAUAGGGCCUAAGAGUUUUGCAGAUUCCAUUCAGGGGGUAAUCUUUGGGCAACCCCAUGCAUUAAAUAGCCACCCUUUUUCAAAACCGUAAGUAGGGCUAGCUAAAGCUAUCAAACUUCUGUAAAAAACGAACUUGUAGACAAAUCAAGAUGCUGCGAUUUGGACUCGUGGCCACCAAUAGUAUGUAGCUUUUCCAUUUAUGUCAUAUUUUUAAUCUCAUUAAAUGAGAUUGAAUUUCAAACCCAUAGUAAGACUACUGAAGAGAAGAAGAGGAAAUGAAAAAGAGGCCAGUCAAGCAAUUGUUACAUGGUGUCCUUUCCAACUAUUCUGCAGAUUUUGAGGGGAAGUUCCAGGGACAAGGAUGCACAUUUCCAUGAAUGAUCUCAAUCUGCCAAAAGAAAAGAAUCUUAAUGAAAGUUAUAACUUGAUGUCAAAAGAGAAAUAAAAAAAAUUAAGAUGCAACUGAAAUAGAUAGCAGCUCUUAAGGAUUAGAACCUACUUAUAUGCAAGCUCUUUUGUUUCCUCAUUCCAUCCAUUGAGCUGCUGAUCGAGAAGAGCACGGGUUCGAGAACUUAUUUGAAAAACAUGGGGCGAUCCUAUGAUCAGCUCUAACAUCACAACCCCCACACUCCACAUAUCAUACCUGCUCGAAAAAUUUUAUAUGGUUAUUCAGGCUUCUAAAUUAGUAAACAUAAUAGAAAGUAUUUUCUCACUCAUCAACUACAAUCGAAGUUCACACAAAACCUCGUGAAUUUUCAAUAAGGUAAUUCUUUUUAUAUAAUUUCCAGAAAGAAAUUGACAGAAAAUAUGAUAGGCCAAAGAAACCUUGGAAGCAGUUCAAAAUAAUUAAAGUAUGCAGCUACAAGCAGAAUCUCAUGCAAAGUCUCAGUCCCAGACACACCUCAAAGCUAUGUCUGUUGGUGCCCUGAACCAACUUGCGUUCAGAGUAGCUUCAGGUGGAGUGUACUCAACAGUCUGUUCAGACCUGCAACAUCCAAAACACCAAUUCAGGUAUACCUCGUGUGUGUGUGUGUGUGUGAGAGAGAGAGAGAGAGAGAGAGAGAGAGAGAGAGAAACCUCACGUGUGUUUGCGUGUGUGAGAGAGAGAGUUGGUGAAUUAUCCCAAAAAGAAAAAAAGUGUUUACAUGUGAUUUCACAGGAUUUGCCCAGAUGAAAACAGAAACCCCAAGCAAAUGACAGUUGUCGAUACCUCAUAGGGGUGCUUCAUAAAUAUAGAAUUUACAACAUUGUACCUCGAAGGUCCAUUUGUUCCAUAGAGAUGUUUGAUCGUGAAUCCAUCAACAGCACUACCAAAGUCAAUAAUGCGCCUAAAAGCAGAUGGAAAAAAAAAAAAAUUAUGCUGCAGAGUUUGGAAGUGGGAGAAAUCAACCAAAUUUAGGCACACACUAUUAUACAUUAUGUGCAUUCUAUGCAUUGAUUCAAAAAGCAGUCCACCCAGUGCCUAGGCGAGUAAGGGGGCCUGAGUAUAUCACCUAGGCCUGCACGGACCAACUAGGCGGGCUGUCCCUGGACCCCUGUUUAGGGACCCUAGGCGCCUGCCUAAUACCCUGUCUAGGUGGGCACCCAAGGGACUGCACCCGUCUAGGUGCAGAAAUACCCAUCGAAUGGAGUACUUUUCUUUUCUUUUUUUUUUUUUUUUGGAUUAAAAAAAUGCAUAUUCUUAUGCAUUUUUAAUACAAAAUCUAGACCUAAAACAUAAUUACUAGACACCCCUUGCCCCCUUUUGAAAUCCUGGGAGGCCUAGACCACGCUGGCCACCAAACAUUAUUUGAAAAACUAAUUCUAUGGCAUAGGUCUAUUGUAACAUAUGUCUAUUUGAUCAAUAUGUCAGUGGGUCGGUACAUAUGUCAGUAGGUCUACUCUAACAUAUAUCUUGUGACAUACGUCAACAGUACAUAUGUCAGUAAUUACCGAGGAAAAAGAGCAACAAUUAACACAAAAGGGUAAUCUAAAUCAUAUUUAUCCAAUGGUUUUUUUAUUGUAGACAUUCAAUAAUAAAUGAAAAACACCUAAUGCAUGGAAAUAUGGAUAAGGAUAAUGAAAAAUUACAAUUUUAAGUGAUAUCGAUGAUCCCCAGUUGGAGUUCCCUCUAAACAUCUCCCAGUAUCAUCAUCUUCUAGGCAUAUGAUCAUAUUCUCUUCAAUAACAUAAAUAUAAUCAAAUGCAUGGAGUUAGCAAAUACCAUUAAAGAUAUGAUAGUAGAAUCAGAACAAGACAAUUAAAUCAUCCUCUUUGCAAAGAAAGGACAUCAUAUUAUAAAUCCUAAAAUUGUUCUAAUAAUUACUGACAUUAAAUUCCCAAAUGUUAAAAAUAUCAAAUUCCUCAAGCUGAAGAAAAAAGCGAUCAUUCUAAUAUACUAGAAUAAAAUAAUAGAAUACUUCAAGUAACACUCCCAGGAGAAUAGUAGGAUCAUUUUUAAAUCCAUUUAUUCAAAAUCAAAUAUGACAACAGCUAAAUUAUUUAACAUAUGCAUGACAACCAAGUCAAUGGAUAAGGCUAAAUUAUGCAAGUGUCCUUUAGCCUAGAUUCCUAGAAUCACACUUUAUAUUCUGCAUAAUUGUGAAUGACACUAGGGGUAUAAAGAUUGCCUUGAGAGUCAGUCGGCAUGGACCUAAGCAAGGCCCUUUAACCAUCAAAUCCAACCCCAAAACCAAACUCCCAUUGAACAAUUCACGACCCAUAACCAAAUUUCCAUAGUACAGUUAAAAAUUAGAAGUUGACUGAUCUAAUUGUUCCCUUGAGACCAGCUUGCCAUACACCAUGCCUAGUACCCACUCAUUUUCGGAUGGCAGAGUUUUCAAUUUGUUUCGUGUUUAUUUUGAUCAUUUUUAUUAUAUCAGAAAUUUCCUAAAUGCACUAGAGAGAUUAAAAAUAUCUUAAGGACAAUCCCUAAAGAAAGACAGGUUAACAGGGAAGACUUAUACAACAACUCUGGAUAUCAAACACCGCUGUAUUAGUCCAUUACAAUUUACUUAUGUAUUUGUUGUUAGUUUUGUUCUCCAUAGUUGGUAGUACUUUUCUAUCAACCACAAAUACCACCUGCAGGAUGAACCUAAUGCAAGGAAAUCCAUACCAUCUUCUUUAUAAACCUUACCAAUUUACUCCAAUUCACAUAGCAUACAGGCAACAAUUCAUGUGGUGCUAUGACAAACAUAUGUCUGCACACGUCUGCUUCUGCAUGUCUAUAAAGAGAGCAUUAUGUGGUGAGGCUAUGACUACACCCAGAAGGGUGUAGCCACACCAAUCUGCACUGUACAUCCGAAUAAGACACAAAAAGUUAUUUUUUGGAUGCUACAAUAGGGAAUCUUGAUAGCUUUCACAUCCAGGGUUUAAAAAGUAACUUCCACACAGUCCCUUUGAAUGGACAGUGAUCUGUAAGGCUACAGACUUUCAGCCGCAGCUGCGGAGUCACCAAAACAUUUUCUGAUAUAUGUAAGAAACAUAUAAGUAAUAAAAUGUGCAGAUGAGAUUAUUGCCCCAUUGAAGCCAGAUGGUUCAGAAACAAAGACAAAUCACAAUAGACAAGGGAGACAAAUUGUGAUAAGAUUAGCAUGAAAGCCUACAUACAAAAAACGCAAAGUUGAUUACAAUAACAUUCUCACCUGGUUUUAUAUCCCUAUGGAUGAUGGUGCGAUCAUGACAUGAUUUGAGGGCCAGCAACUAAAACCAAAGGGAACAAAAAUGGAACACCCCAAUUAAAAUAUGCAUUAGCUAACGCAUUAUGCAAGAAAUAUUUAAUACUUUAAAUGAACUUUAAAGAAAACUAGCACUAUAAAUGAAACAUCAAGAUGACGAGAAACUACAUAGAACAUAAAACAACCCAAAAUAUAAACAUUUGAUGGCCCAAACCCAGAAAGAAAUGCAUCAUAAUAUCAUCUUUGGCAAUUUUGAUGCGUUCCAUAUGUGUGAUUCCUGGGAUGGUUAAGUAACCACUGACACUUCAGAUUAUAUGCUGACACUUAACCUCUUCAAUGUGUUUCUCAAGCAUGGCUUGAAAAAUUUAGUGGCUAAACAAAGAUGUUGCUGUUGCUUUGACACAAGCAUAGACUGACAGAUCGACCAACCUGCAACACUCAACAGGUGAUUUAUAUUGCACGGGCAUUGAGGCUUGCAUCUUCAUGAAAACAUCUAGGAGAAGAUCGGGGUUUGCCUCGUGCAAUGAAAAAGGUAGCAGAGAAAAACCUUAGGAUAUAAGCCCUAGAUUUUGAGGAACAUUAAGGCCUUUGUAAACCAUGGGAUGUAAGGCCCUAGGGUUUUGGGUACUAAAAAGGCCUCUUGUAGGAGAAAUCCUCUUACCAGCACGUUUUACAAAGAGAAACUCUGAGAAUUGAAAGGAUAAGAAACCACAGCUGAAUUAUGAGUAUGAAGGCUAAGGUUUUCGGCAGCGAUGGAAAACAUGAAGGGGGGAUGAACAAAUCUAGAGAGAGAAUUUCUGGAGAGAUACUAUGUGAAACAAAGAUAUAGAAGAAUCCGAACCCUAGAUUAUCAGAGAGUUGAUAAGCUAGAAAAUAAAUUGCACAAAGCAUUUCUCGUAAGGGAAGCACAAAGAACCUAGAAAUGGAGAAACUGCAGCGAUAGAUGAGAAACCCUAAGCAGAAAAGGAGAAAAAAAAGACAACAUGUUUCUCAAGCAUGGCUCUAUAAUCUUCUAAUUUUUCUGAAACAGAUCAAAAAGCCGGCCUCCUGGGUGGCCCACCUAGGCGUCUAGGAGGCCUCACCGCCCCACACUGGGCCUAUGGGGCGACGACUACUCACCCAAGGCACCACCCUGGUGAGGGUAGAAAUUUCCCUCGCCAGAAAGGCAAAAAACGUAAUCCCUUCCCAACACCACCAUGCCUCCCCCCCCCUCCGGGGGCUCUUUUUUAUAAGGGGCGAAAUAAUAUUUAGGGCCACUUUGGGUCCCCAAAACUCCAGAGAACUCUAUUUGUGCAACAAAAAGAACUUUCCUAGCUCAAAAUCAAUUUUUUUUAAGGAUAAAAUCUGAUAUUGAAGUUUUGGAUUUCUUGCGAAAUCAAAAGGCAUUCAACCAAGAAUUUUUUAGGGAUUGAAGUGGUUAGAAAAGUGAGCUUUUGACAACCGAAAGUGACCGAUUCAAGCCUGCUUCAAUGGAUUUUCGAAAGGUUAGUAAAAUCAGUUCUUUAAGUUUAGGGUUUCAUUUUUUUUUUUUAACUAUUGGGUUAUGUUAUUCUUUUUUAUUCUCUUGCAUUUAUUUUUGAACUUCGACUUUACAUUUAUGAUGAAACUUCAUGAGUGUUAUUUUUCAAGGAUUUGCUAUUUUUGUGACUAUAAUAUAUUUUUGGAAACAUUUCUAAUUUAUAAUGCAAAUUAAAAAAAAAAUUCAUUCUUUUGCAUUUAUUUUUGAACUUUGACUUCACAUUUAUGAUGAAACUUCAUAAGUGCUCUUUUGCAAGGAUUUUCUAUUUUUGUAACUAUAAUAUAUUUUUGGAAACAUUUCUAAUUUACAAUGCAAAUUUGAAAAUUUAUUUAGAACGCAAAUAUGAGAAUAUUAUUCUAUGUUUCUAAUUUUUAAUGCAAACUUGAAAUUCUAUUGUAUAUUUUUGGCUAUGUUUCAAAUUUACAAUGCAAAUUUGAAAAAUAGUACUAUGUUUGGCUAUAUUUAUAAUUUAUAGGGAAAAUAUCUCCAUACCCCCUAUUUUUUGGUUUCAUUUCUCAAUAGACCUAAGGUUUCAAAACAUAUCUUGAGGCAUGGAGAUCUCAUGUAUUAUAUCUUCUAACCCCCUGAACCAACUUUACCCAUUUUGACCUUAUUUUUUUAGCCCAAAAAAAUCUUAAAAAAAUAUUCCCUUUGUAAACCCCAUCUUCUCUCUUCUCACUUGAUUCUCCCAAAACUCCUCUCGCUGUACUUCCCCCAACACUCUCUCUCUCUUUCUCCAUAUUUCCCCCAACUCUCUCUCUUUCUCCGUAUUUCCCCCAACUCUCUCUCUCUCUUUCUCCGUUUUUCCCCCAACUCUCUCUCUCCACAAUGCUGCUGAAUUUUCAUUAUCGCUAUGAAGAUUUUAUCUCAUCCGCUGAAGAACGAUGAAAAGCAAAACCACACUGCAGAAAGCCAAAAUGGCCACUACAUUCUUGAACAAGACGACCUAGAAGACCCAGCCCAUGGUUUCAGCUUGCAAGGCAAUCCUUCACCUAGCCAUGGAGUCCAACCAUUGGGCAAUCUUCUCUUAAAUGCUUGUUCCUCCGACUCAAGAAACACCGGCUUGGAAACACUCUAUGUUCUCACUGAGGCGUCUACGCUCUUGGAGAGAGAGAGAGAGAAACAGAGAGAGAGAGAGAGACAGAAACAUGGGGAGAGAGAGAGUAUACAAAGAGAGAGUGAGUUGGGGAAAUACGAAGAGUGAGAGUUCAAAAAAUACGAAGAGAGAGAGUUGGGGGAAUAUGAAGAGAGAGAGUGAGUUGGGGAAAUACAGAGAGAAUGAGAAGAAGUUUUGGGAGAAUCACAUGAGGAGAGAGAGGAUGGGGUUUACAAAAGGCAUGUCUUUUUCAGAUUUGUUUGGACUAAAAAAAUAAGGUCAAAAUAGGUAAAGUUGGUCCAGAGGAUUAGAAGAUAUAAUAUAUGGGAUCUCUAUACCCUAAGAUAUAUUUUGAAACCUUGGGUUUAUUGAGAAAUGAAACCUAAAAAUAAGGGGUACAAAGAUAUUCUCCCGAAUUUAUAAUGCAAAAUUGGAAAUUUCCAAUAUAUUUUUGGCAAUAUCUAUCUUUGUUUCUAAUUUAUGAUGCAGGUAUGAAAAUAUUACUUUGUUUUCUAUUAAUAAUGCAAAUUUGAAAUUUUAUAACACAACUUUAAUCAUGUUUCUAAUUUGUAAUGCAAAUUUAGCAAUUAUGAUUUUUUUUUGUCAUUUUAUUGAGUUUUUUAUACUUUCGAGUUAUCUUGAGUCUUGACAUUUGAGUAGAUCACAAAUUCACAUUGUCUUCUUUUGCUUCUACUGGGAAACAAGUUGAUCCGGGAAGGUAUGAAAAUAUUACUUUGUUUUCUAUUAAUAAUGCAAAUUUGAAAAUUUAUAACAUAACUUUUACCAUGUUUCUAAUUUGUAAUGCAAAUUUAGCAAUUAUGAUUUUUUUUUGUCAUUUUAUUGAGUUUUUUAUACUUUCAAGUUAUCUUGAGUCUUGACAUUUGAGUAGAUCACAAAUUCACAUUGUCUUCUUUUGCUUCUACUGGGAAACAAGUUGAUCCGGGAAGGACGCAUGGGACAUGCCCAAAUCUAUCAGACAAGCAAAAGAUCCAAUGCAAUUAUCGUAAGAGAGUCCAAUCAUGUGGAAUUAAUAGAUUUAAGAAGCAUUUGGCUUAGUUAAAAGAGGAUGUUGCACCUUGCACUCAAGUACCAUCAGAGGUUAGAAAUGAGAUGUUGGGGCUUCUUGAAGGAUUUAAAAAGAAAGCAAAGGGUUAAAAAAAUGGAUCAGGUCAAAAGAACAAUAGAUAUUUGGGAUCAAGGAGAAAAGGAAGCGGAAUAUGAAAGUAGGGCUAGACUAGUGAUGGAAGUGGAGAUUGAGCUGCAGGGCCCAAGGAUUCUUUCUUUGCCCCCCUUUUGUCGGAUCCUACAGUUGUGACUGAAGGAAAGGGCCAAAGAACCAUUGAAAGCCACAUAAAAAGGAAGGAAAGAAAGAGAUCAAUAUGGGGCUACUUGGAUUUUUCAAGCAGACAUCUCUUUCAAUGCCAACACCUUGAAGACCUUCAAAGCCAUGACUGAAGCAGUGGGUCAAUUUGAGCCACGAUUAAUGCUUCCUACUCAAUACGAGCUCAAGGGCCCUCUACUUCAAAAAGAGGUAGAAUUGACUAAUGAGUAUUUCAAGACUCAUGGGGAAGUAUGGGAUCGAUUUGGGUUACCAUAAUGACCAAUGCAUUGACUAACCAGAGGGGUCAUGAAUUUGAUGGUAAAAUUGUCCCUUGGGGAUAAUGUUUUUAGGUCAAUUGAUGCAUCUGAUAAGGCACGUGAUAUUGAAUUCAUUUUGAAAUUGGUUGAAAAAUGCAUAGUGGAUGUGGUGGAGCCUCAUGGAGUUCAAGUGGUUACUGACACAGCUCCCUAUAAUAUGGCAGCUGGUAGGCAGCAAAAGAAAAAGAAGCUACAGAUAUUUUGGACCCAUGCAUGGCACAUUGCAUCGAGGUCAUGCCUGAGGCCAUUGACUAGAAGGCAGUGGCAGAGUCAGCUAUGAAUAAGACCCGGAUGGUCAUAGAUUUCAUUCAAAACUACAUGCGUCUUGGCCUAAAUGAGGGUGUUUUGUAAGAAUGAGUUGGUAAGACCUGGUUGACUAGAUUUGCCACCUCUUAUUUGUGUUUAAAGCCUCUUCAGGUCCAAAGAGAACUUAAGAAAAAUGUUUCUUUCUGAUGAGUGGAACCAAAUAAAAUGGUCUACCGAAGAAAGUAUCAAAAAUAUCAAACUCUCUUUUUGGUGUGUAUGUGUUUCAAAAAUCAUAAUAUUGAAAAUAUCAAAUCUCUUUUUGGUGUGUGUAUAUAUUUCUAAAAUCACAAUGACUUAAUAAAUUAGAAUUUAAAUAAAAUUAUCAUCUCAAAAAGUUAGAAAUUAGAUUAGAAUAGGAAAUUGGCAUAUCAAAAGUACUAAAAUUGCUCUCAUGUCCAGAUUAGCUACAUCAAAUUUAGUAUGGGUACAACCAUCUGUUGCAAGUGCUUAGCACUAUGGUUGGACUGGGUCCAGUUGGCAGCUGGCCUGGCCCUAAAAAAACGGCCUACAUCACAAAUGUGGCCUUAGGGCCAAGCCGGGCCUAGGCCAGGUCCGCAACAGGCCAGCCCAGCUUGGCCAGCAAAGCACCUCCUAAGCUACAACUACUGAAGCUACGAAACCCUAGCUAAUCAUAGCUACCUAGACUUCCUUAAGCUACCUAGAGCCCCUUGCUAAUCAUAGCUGCCUAGACUUCCUUUAACUACCUAUAUCCCCUAGCUAACGUAGCUACCUAGAGCUAUCAAAACUACAAACAGAUAUUGGUCUUCGGACCAAUAUCUAGAUACUCGAGCUACCUAGACUUCCUUUUGCUACCUAGAGCUACCUAUAUCUCCUUUAGCUACCUAUAGCUAGAGGAACUAGAUAGCUCAAUAGUAAGAGUGCACAUAUAGAGCUACCCCUACUAAAGGAACCUAUAGCUACUUGCCUACCCAUACAUUUACUAUAGACACCCUCUUCUAUGAAAGCGCAACAGCUAAGCGCUUGGUACUAAGUGGUUGGUUGGGUUGCCUAAGAAGCGAAGCAAGCUCAUAAGCUUCUUUUCCUACUUAUUAGCUAAGCUUGGAUUUUUUUUUCUUAUUGCUUUUUUAUUUACUUAUACUGUAUUUGUCCAGCCCUUAUAGGGUAGGCCCAGGCCUGGGUCGGGGCAUCUUCAGCCUUGCUAGGGCCAGGGACAGCCCAGCCCAGGCCUGGCUAAAACAAAAAGUAAUCAACUAUGGAAUAAAUGUGUCUCAAUAAAGAAGCCAAAAUUAACUUAUCAGCCUUGAGAGUUUUCCUUUGUCUUAUAGCAAGAUCAGUAAAAUCAAACUUACCAGCCUUGAGAGUUUUCCUUUGUCAUAUAGCAAGAUCAGUGCCGAGUAAACACAACAACCAUGAGAAUACCAUCCGUAAGCACUGAACUUGGGAUACUACAUUUUUAAAACCUAACCAAAGGUUCAAUGAACUUACGAGAAAUCUGUUUAACUAAAAAUUUAAACACUUUCAGUCCUGUUACUGCAUAGGGGAUAAUAGAUAUUCAAAUAAGCUAACAACAAUAGAUAAACUCCUCAAUCCCUAAACCCCAAACAAUUUCCUUCAUGCUCUCUCCAACACACAUAUUAUUGCAUAUAUGCAACCAUGCUUGCACAUAACAACACCACAAAGGCACAUAAUUCAGCAGUUCACAUUCUUGUCAGAAGAAUUAAUAGUCAUUCAAUUCAGAAGGGCAAGAGAGACUUAAAAUCCAUUGACCAACUAAAUGCAGACAUACCAACUGCCAUAUGAUGUUGCGCAUCUGCUCUUUUCCUGCUACUGUCUUCCUUAGCCAAUACCACCAAGAAGAUGGAUGCAAGACCUGGAUGUUUUCCCUGUGAACACUUUGAUUAUCCGUACUGUUUUCAAUUUCUACUGCAGUGUAUAUCAAUUUUGACAACGAGCGCCCUUCGUUCCGAAAUACAAGCCAAAUUUCUUUGGACUGAGACUCAAAUGACUCAAUAUAUCUCGCCACGUGCAUCAAUCCUUCCUCAUAAUCAGCACCCCACACUUGCAUGUUGCCAAGAAAUGUUUCUGUAAGAUUCCAGGGAUAUCCCAUAUCAACUCGUACUGAUCUGUUCAGUGAUGAUGACUGAUUUGAUUCAACUUCUGCUACCUCUGCAGAAGAAUUUGACAGGACUGUUGGGGAUGAGCCUCUUAGAAACGCAGAAGCAUUCAAGAAAACUUCUCCAAAAUGUUUCUCACGCAGGCCACUUAAGUAAGCACUAUUGCCUCUUUCCACCUAUUAAAAUAGAUUAACACAUUUCCAAAUCAACAAUAUAUAAUGAAAUCCAGGAAAAAAUGCUUAACAUGGAUACGAGAUGACCAAGAAGAAUAUUUGUUAACAAAUUAGAUUUUAAAUUCUAACCAUUAUGAAAAUUAUAUUCAAGAGAUUAUAUAUAUAGGGUUAUUCUAGAAUAAACUAUACUAAUGGUGAACUUAGAAUUUCCUACUCCAAAACUUUUCACCAUAAAAAGCCCCUAUAUAUUCAAAAAUGGCGUUCGACCAUAAAUAGUUUUUUCAUUUUAGGAAAGGGUAUUUUCAUCUUUUUAAAAUCCCUCCAAAACUCAAUUUCAAAAUAAAAAGAUUCUAUUGACUUUCAUUAUCAAAAAAAAAAAAAGAUUCUAUUGACGUUUUUGAGUAAUGACGGGACUUUAAAAGCAACUUAAAUUUACAAACAUGCCCUUUUCGAAAUUUUCAACCAAUCUAUCGUUCAUAUAAUUUUAAUACUAGUUGAGGCAUUUUGUUGUCAAAAAUUUAGCAUGCAACUAACACAAAAAGAUUAAACAUGUAUGUUAUUUCUGAAAUGGCCAUGAAACAAAAGCAUAUAACUGGACAAAUGAAAAAUGGCACACUGGGGGCUUCAUGGUGACGGCUUGAACCCCAGCACGAAAUAAAGGACCCAGUGGUGCAGCAGCCCCAGACCACAUGGUAGGAUUCCCCAAGCCUGAGAAAAGGCACUCAAAGUAAAGUUCCUCAAUCCUUUGAAGUCUUCGAGAACAGAGACUACAUUUGAUUUCUAGUUUCAACUGGAGUUAGUGAAAAGGAAUACAGUACAAUAGUCUUGGAGGGGCCACUCAAGGACAAUAUGCCUGCAACUUACCAAAAAUUAUAAUUUUGAUCUAUAAUUGCAUAGUUUUCUAAGUGUAUGUGUACCACAAUAUUUACAAGUUCUGAUCAGUUCUGGUGUCACAUACUAUUAGUACUAACAGCGAAAGAUGUAAUAGCAUGAAAAUAAGAGAUAUCAGAAAUGCCAUUCUUAAAUGCCAACAAUCUUACCAUUAUUCGCUUCAAAAUAAAUGAAUCUCCCAAGCUAGAAUCAGAGGGAUUAGGACAAGUGGAGUUUUUUCUCAUAUUAAGGUCAUACUCAUAAAGAUUGUGAAGUGGAGGGAUACAUGAAGAAAACUUUGCGUCAACCGGCUUCGUGUUUUGUGCAAAAUUGAAACGACCUGCACCAAGUGAACAAUUCCAGUGAAAUGCCAACCAAACUUCACCAUAUGAUCCACGGUCAAAUCUUCUCUUAAGAAUGUACCUGAAAAGACAUCAAAGCACCAAAUAUUUAGAACAUGCACUAGUAAAAUUCAAAAUACGUUAAACCAAGGCUUCUCUAAGGAGUAGCUUCUAGAAGUCAACAGUAUCUGCAGACUAGCCAGCUUGAACAGUCCUUUCUAGACAAUGAAACAGGUGUAGGACCAAGACAGUAUGAAAGCAUAAUAUGAGAAGCAACAUUACCAAUAUUACAAUACAUGAAGUAGGGAAGGGACACGUUAAGGCCCCGAUCUUGGGUCAGGUCUAACAGACUCGGCCGAGUCAGUCAGAAACUCAGCUGAGUCCAACCAAAUGAAUAUAAAAUAAUGGGAAUCAGCCAAACUUCGCCAGGUCCAAGUGGACUCACCCGAGUUUUCCAACUCUGAACAUUACUCUAGUUAUUAAAUAUCAUAACAAUGUCUACUGUAUCUCAACUAUCAACACAGUAAAAAUGAAAAGAAGUCUUGACUGGACGCUUAUCAACAAGACCAAUUUUCUUGCAAGUACAAAACUGAACAUGUUGCAUUAUGGGAAGCGCUUAUGAUCAAUGUAGUGCAAGAAACAAUAAAAAGAUAUUUGUAACCGAAGUUUAACUUCAAAAAACCCAUGAUGAUUGAUGAUGAAACUACCUAAAAUUUGAGGAGCCGUAUACAUAUGACUCGGAGGCAUUGAUAUUGAUCUCAUUAAAUGGAACCGAUCUGAUUAAGCCAAGAACCCUUGCAAACCCUUCUGGAUUAAUGCAUUGUCCCUUCUCUCCUUCAAACUCCAUCCCCAAGUUCAAGCAUAAAUAAUGGCCAUUGUAUAGAUCCAAAGGCCAAUCACCUUAUGUGAGAAAACAAAUAUAUGUUUAGCCUGUCAUCGAUGGACAAAGAAAACACAAAAGUGCAGAAAGCCAACAAAUUCUACCCAUUCAGUGAAGAACCUCUACCUCAUCAAUACAUAAAGAUUGGUAACUGUUUCAAAAGAGAGCUAUUUUCAACGUCAUAAUCAUAAGAAAUCACUACAUUUCUCACUAAAUUUCCUGGAAGAAGUAAACUAACAACCAAUAUGCAUUAAAAUUGCUAUAUUCUCGAAGACAAUAUCAUGAUAUUAAGUUAGUUAUUAAUAACAGCAAUUGUAACUGACACACAUGUAUUGAUAUUUCCAUGUCUUUCCACCUAGUAAAUCUAUACACAAUUUGAUCUCCAAUGAACAAGGUCAAAAAUCAUUUAGAACUCACAACCAAUGGAAUUGCAUUCUAGUAACAAUAGAAGCAGAAACAAGGAAGUAGUUAUGAUUGAUGGAUGAAAAAUAACUAAAAGAGAGUAUUUUCAAUAUCUUGGGUCAAUAAUCCAAGAAAAUGGAGAGAUUGAAGAAGAUGUUGCACAUAGAAUUAGAGCUGGGUGGGGCGAAAUGGAGAUGUCCAACCAGAGUUUUAUAUGAUCAUCACAUACCAAUGAAGCUAAAGGGAAGUUCUAUAGGACAGUUGUGAGAUUAGCUUUGCUUUAUGGGAUGGAAUGUUGGGCAGUCAAGAAAUAAUACACCCAUAGGAUAAGUAUAGCAGAGAUAGGACUGUUGAGAUGGAUGAGUGGCAAAACAAUAAAAGGUAGAAUUAAGAAUGAAUAUAUUUGGGGGAACUUGCUCCAAUAGGCGACACGAUGAGGGAAAUUAGACUUAGGUGAGCCGACCAUGUGCAACACACACCCAAUGCAACAUCAGUUAAGAAGUGUGAUUUGGUUCAAGUGGAAAGCUCUAAAAGGGCAAGAGGAAAGCCCAAAAGGAAUGGAUGGAAGUAAUCAGAAAAGAUAUGAGGACGUAUGGUCUUUCUGAGGAUAUGGCAAUUGAUAGAGCAGAAUGGCGGAAUAUGAUUCAUGUAGCCGAUACCAAAAAGUUGGGAUAAGACUCUAAUGAUGAUGAUGAAUCAAUGGAGUUACAUUUUGAUAAUGAAAAAAAAUUAUUUAAAACUUCACCAAAAGACUACAAGAAUAAUCUUGGAGUACAUAUGAACAAAAAAGCUAUUUAAGGAAGCAAAGGUCCCAAAAUCCUAAAACACCCCCAUAAAUCCACCAAAUUUGCUGACCGAACAGCCACCAAGUUUGCCUUUUGGAAAGAUGACAGACAUUCAAUAUGCAUAUGCCCUGCAUGACAUCUUGCACGUCUGAGAAAAGACCACUUAAGCUCCUAGGAACUACAACAUUUCCUCUUGUCCAUUUGAUAACAUUUACAGAACCUGUGUCAUAAAGAUAGGUCCCAAUGGAAAGUUCCUCGAUAAUCUUCACCAAUUUUGGCAACAUUCUCUUCAGCCCAUUCUUCAAGCUCCUAAACACCUAUAAAUAAUCAGUGCAGAAGCACACAAACUCCAAGGGAAAAUGCUCAUAGUUUCAGAUAUUAAGUCAUUUGAACUAUGUUUCCACUAUUAUUGCUCACAUGGUUAUCACGAUCUCCCAACUUGGUGACGAUCCCACAUUCCCGGAGCUGGACCUUGGGCGGAUACUGCUCCCAUAUAUAGGGAAACAUGAUCCCAAUCCUUUAGGGAUCAGUCCAUAUAGAUCACACUAAUGUUACAUUGAUUUUUUACAAUACAACAAGUCUUAAAUGCACUUCGAUUAAAGAAAGAAAGUAAAUAUGCUGCAAAAUCAUGUUACAUAUACUUUUCAAAAAGAAAAGAGAAGCUUUUACCAGAUAGAUAUUGGACCUUUAGAAUUUAUCAUGCGACACCAGAAAGCUGGAAUCUAGCUUCCCAACAUGUUGGGAUUCAGAUCCCUAAAAUUCAAGGUGUACAGACAACAAUCCUGACCAUAGGGAGCUUUAAGCCUAUCAUGAUCCAAGCUUCUGAUCCCGCUCCAAUCCCAACAACUAUGACAGCAUAAUUUUUCUCAUAAAGCACUAUAUCAAAUGACAAAAUUCCCAUAUUUGACUGGAAUUCAUACCAAGAAAAGCAAACAAAGAUUUACUAAGUAGUUAGAAGAAUAUGCAGGGUGACAUCAUAAUAGCAAGAAUUAAUGUAAUUCACUGAAAUAAUAAAGUGCCCCAAUAGAAAUUAAAGAGUUCUACUUACUUUGUUGUUGUUCUAUGACUUCAGGUAAAGCAUACAGUGAAUCAUAUGUUGUGUGAUGCUCAUUUUCUUUUAACGAGCCAAACAUGUAAUCCUUGUUGUCAUUGAGAUUCUCAAAUAAAUGAAAACAGCGUAUUGUAUCAUGAGUAGCUUUUACCUGCAUUAGCCAAUAAGUUUCUUAACACCGCAAACCAACAAAGGACGUGCACGACAUUUUGGGAAGAUGGUUAGAAAACAUGUGGCCAUUCAGUUACAAUUAGAAGAUAUCCUAGCCAGAAAUUAGACUACGAAUAAAUACAAGGCUGUAAAAGCAUCUAGCAAACUUAAUCAUCCAGAAAAAAAAUAUUAUCGUGCAACAAAGAUAAUCAAAUUACAAGAUAGUAGCACCAUUUCCACAAGAAAUCAAGUUGACAUGAUCAAAAGAGAUUCCAAGGCAACAUUAAUUCCUUCAGUCUGUGAGAAGAUAUCAAAAUGUCAUCAAACAAAAAAUACAAAAUUAUAAAUAACUAUGCCUGUAAAAGUGACCUAAACUUAGCUAUAAGCAACGUAGUCAACAUAUGACCCAUGAUUCACCAGCUUUAUUCAAGGAUUACCAUGCAAGCAAGUCAAGUAUUACAUUAUUUUGGUGCAAAACCUCGUACAUUUGAUAACAACAAAACACUCCUGGAGAUGGAUAACCCAACUAAGGACAACAAAUCUUGUGAUGAACAAUCUAUAUUUCUCCUCUUGGUCGCAGAUAAUGUGCUACCCCUACUUCUAAUCACAUGCUCAGUUAUUUUUAAUCAUUAACAAUCAAUUGAAUUUCAUUUAUUGCUUAGAAGUACUAAUUAAAUUAUAACUAGCAUACAACCCAUGCCAUGCAUGAGCAGAGAAUGUAAUUCCCUUUUUCUUUUAGAUUCCUCAUUUCCUUUUCUUUAGAUUCUCUCUACACUUUUUGCGACAAUGUUUUCAAAACCCAAAUUGAUUUUGGAUUGCCCACCACUAUUCUGGUCUAGAUCAGCCAUAUUAGUGAUCUGGAUCGGAUGAAACAAUCAAGAUUGGAAAAAAAAUUAAUAAGAAAAUUAAUAUAGGGUGAUUCAGGGUGGGGGAGACCCAGACCACCCACCCGCCAAAUCCGAUCCAGAUUAGGGGUUCCUAUCUGGAUCACUGGGCUUUAAAACCUUAUAUUGAGCCAAUAUUUUCAAUUUUAUUAUUUGUUGAUAAUUUGAGUUAUUGAGUUUUACAAACAGCUAAUAGAGAUGUGCCAAAGGUUUUAUGCUAGCUGCCAACCAAACACAGCCCUCCUCCUUUCUCAUCCGGGCUUAGAACUGGCAAUGGUGGAGUUAAUAACUAUUCUAUGAAUCGAUUUUCUUUUUACUAUGAUUUUCUUGAAACGAAGUGUGUUCUUCCAAAAAGCCCCUGAUAGCUUCUAUACAUUACUGAGAAUACCUCAAAGCUAAGGUUAUUUUUGUCAACAAAAUCUAACGUGUUAUUUGGAACCAAAGUAGGGUGCUAAUGCAUAUGAGCAUAGGUAGUUUAAUGAAAUCUGACAAAUGACCACAAUCCAAACACAUAUAUUAUAUAAAGUAUGAGACUUUAUAUUGCAACUUCUGAAUUAUUUAAUUACAGAUUGAAUCUCAAAUUCAAUUUAUUUCAUUAUUUCUAAUAUUAUUUUCCAAUUCUCCCUGUUCUAUAAUUGCCUAUUUUUCAAACAGCCAUACGCAUUUCAGAAAAGCAAAUGCAUACUAUGUUUCACAUGACCACAUGAAAUGUGAUACUUACAGUUAUUACCAACCAAUUGUCAUUACCAAUCAAUCCAUUCAAUGGGACAGUGAUGGAGGGAACCAAACAUGAUAUGACUUUCCCUUUUAAGUCCCACUCUCUCUCCACUGUCCAACCCAUUUAUUGGAUGGUGAAGACUUUGUCAUAAACACAUUUCAUGUAGUCUCAUGGACCACUGUACUCUUUCCCCUUAAAAUAUUUUGAUUCUUACGUCUCAACUAUGUUAAAAAAUUUCCGUGCAUCCAAUCAGGUUUGAAACCUUGAUCAACAAUUUACAACAAGACCAAGGUAACGCAGGCUGAUAUGACAAGCUUCAAUCCACAAUCCUUGCGGCACAAAGCAUGUUAACAACACUGUCCGUGGGGGUAAUAAUGCCCCCAGAAGAGGCCUUUUAGUUCAUAUUAAGAGAACUAAAAUAGUCAAGACAGUAUUAGGCACCCAGGCCAAACCAUUCUAUCAAAGAAAUAUCAAAGGAAAAUAUCUACCCAUUUACUACAAUAAAAGAAAAAAGAUUUAUAAAAGUGUAUAGCAGCAAUUUAUCCAUUUUGACAUUUAGCUAUAAUGCUAAUCAAAAGGGAAUGGAACAGCAUUGUCGGGAAAUAACAUGUACUUCCUUACCAAUAUUUGGGUAAAAUCUGCCAGAAUGCGAUUCAUGAAUUCCACUGGAAUAAGGCCAGAAGUCGUGCCAUCAUUAGCUGCCAAUGAAACGAAAGCACCAACCCACAUCAGAAAUACAUAACUAAUUUAUGUAUCAUGCUUACUAAAUGAUAUCCUUGUUUCAUUAUAUGGUCCAUGUUUGACUACAAAAAUACAAUAUCAGCUGGCAGCCUCAUUAGGAUAUCAUUAUAUGGUAAGUGUUUGACUACAAAAAUACAAUUUCAGCUAGCAGCCUCGUUGGAAACUCAUGUCAGGGAAGCACUCCUGCUCCAAAUAUUGACACCACAUCAGAGUUUUCCAUGUCCUUCCUAGUAGAAGCUUACUAUCUCCCUAGUCUCCACUCAUACACCCAAACUUAUUCACUAGAUAUUCCUGGUAACUAAGAUUUAGGCUCACCAUGCCAAGUAACAUGUUAACAAAUGCUAAGAAAGGAAAGUGUUACCUGAUCCACUAUAACUUAACUUCUCAAUCUUGUUAGACAUCACAUGUGCAUUUUCUACUUGAUCAUAUCUUGCCUUCAUUCGGUCUACAGAGGUAUCCUGAGAUUCAAGAGGAACUACAACGGCAGCCAAGUUAUCCAUGCUACCCUGCUCAAAAGCACUGUUUACCAGACAUUCAGCCAAUGGAAUGUUUUCUGUAGAAAUUGUGCCUUCUUUCAUCUUGCUUUGCAUGCCAAAGUCCCAUAAUAAAUCACAUAUAUCUUGGGUGGUUAAUUUGUCAAAGAUUCCGUCAGUUGCAGCUACAAGGUAGCUAUCAUUGUUUGAUAAAGGUUGCCAAUCUGUCACCUCAGGUGCUGAUAUAACACCAUACCUGACAAAUAAGUAUGAAGCACCAUGUGAGAAGAACACAGAAAUAGUUCCUGGCAGCCCCGUGCUGCGGUUUUGGAAAACAAGGUAAUGCCUGCUAAAAUUUAAUAAAACAGAGUAGAUCUUCAGAUGAUCAGAGAUACUGAAUUUUUAUUUUCAAGGUAAUUUAGCACAUACGAUAGCCACAUAUAUAAGCAUUACCUAUCAUAGAUUCUUGCCCUCAGCUGCAGUGGUUCUCACCCAUUGACUAGCCAAAUUGUGUACCACAUGUUCAAUUUUGCAAACCUAACUCCUACCCCAUGUCAAUAGGCCAAAAAAAUAAGGGAUUUUAAAACACAGAUUCUCGAAAAAAAAAUAAGAGAAAAAAUGGCAGGUCGAAAGGGGUAACCCUAGAACAGGCACCCACAUAGAAACUAGACAUCAUCGCAUCGAGAACAAGUUUGUAUCCCAGACUCAAAUGAGGCUUGAUCUAACUAGUCCAUCCAUGUGGCGUCCCAUUGUAGGCAAAAUGCACUAACCUGUUCACCCAACUUUAGAAACCCAAUUUACCUUAAGUUGCAUAAUUGCGUUUAAUGUUAUUAUAAUAAACCUACUUGACAGUACCAAACUCAACCUAUGAAUUUUAGAUUAAAUUAAUUCAAAAAAAAAGAAUCUUACAAUAAACUAUGAAUUGCAAGUAAAAUAAAGGCAUAGAUAUCUGUUCAUCAAAUUCAGAUAUCUCUACAGGUUGCCAAAGCAUUUUUAUUUAUUGUAUGCAAGGCCAUAAGAUGAAGCACUGAAGAGAUACUAAGAACAUCAAAAAGCAGAACACCUAAGUUCGCAUUGAGAAAAUGGAUGACAUAAAUGGUUCAAUGUGCUAAGCACUUCCCAUGACAUAACAUCUAAAAGAAGCAAGGUAUUUGAUUCUUUAUAAACAUCAUGACUUACUUUUUAAGUGAAACAUCACCUAUGGCUCGAGACACUGCUAGCUCUCCAUUAACUCGAGGCACACCACCCCAUUCUUCAACAAAACCACCAGCUGCUUCUAUACGCAUCCUUUCAUCAUUUCUAUCAGGGUGAUGGUCUUCGGUAAGUUCCUUUACACAUAAACGCCUCGGGCUAACAUUGGCAUCUAACUUCAAAUUCCCAUGGCCUCUCAUAAGCGACAAAGCCCGCCUUCUACGCCUGUAAGCCUUGGAAAAUGUGCCUGUGAAAAAUUAAUAUUUCAGGAGAUCUUGAAUUAAAUGUUACUAGACUUGAAUGUUCAAGUACUACUAGAUUUAUUUCAGAGUUACAGGAUUCACACAUAAGCCAUAUCAAUUCUCAUUUCCAAUCACCAUGAGAAAACAAACAAAUUAGUUCUUGACAUAGAAAGAUAAAUAACUGCAAAUUCUGUGAAUACAACCUUGCAAUCAGUAUUGUGCAAAUCUACAAAUGAAAUACGGAUAAAAAUCUGAAGCUAAACAGCUAAACAAAUACAAAAAGAACCUUCAAUCUCUUGUGAGACAUCAAAACAUUCUGAGCAUAGAAGAGCUUUUGAGUCUCCAACAUUAGCAACUAAAACAUGGCCUUCGGCUUUAAGAACAAUAGUGGCCGUAGAGCCAGAAUCUAAAUUAUGUCGGAAAGCAUCCUGCACAACAAUACAAGGAAAAAAGUCAAGAUAGAAAAAGGAGAAUCCAUUUCUAGAGGGCAAAAGACAUAUAACAAAAAGGAAAAUGAUAGCACGCUCUGGCGGAAUGCACACCAUUAUGUUCCGCCCAAUAUAUCCACCAUCUAAAUAUCAUUGAUAGUUCAGAUUGGGGCUCGCGUGUCCACCACUUCGAAACCGAUACUUUGACUGUGCCAAUUUUUUUUUUUGCCGGGGGGGGCAAGAUGCCCAAGUCUUUGCAAGACCAGAUUAUCCUCCAAGUCUCUCAGAUGAGUUUUCAUCUCUCUGUCUCUCCUCUCCCUUACUUUGCAAUACUUGGAAUCGGCUCCUCUUCUCUUGCCUCCCUAUCUCAAUUUUCUCUGUCUGCAUCAUAUAAUAUCAGCUCCCCCCCCCCUCUAAAGCGCAGGGUAAAAGGUACACAAGGCCAUCCUCAGAAAGAAACCGUUCUCCCACCCCUCCUCUAACAUGCAGCAGAGUAAAGUGCAAGCAGACACACAUCACGGUGUAAAGUGAACAGAUCUCUCCCUAUCUCUCUAUUCUCUCUAUGGAACAUACAAAAUGAGCUCCUACUUCUCACCAUACACCUACCAGAGGAUAACUACCCCCACCCCCCCCGUUGCAGUCUCUCUCUUUCUCUCACUGCAAAAUAACCAUUGUCCAUAAAAUGCAGGGGUUUUUGUAAGAUGAGAUCCCACGAAAUGGAUUUGCAUUUGGAGGAUUAACAGGGUGGCGCAGACCAGAAAAAAUUCGGCAGAAGGUCAAAAUAUUGAGCUGAAGUGAUGGUUACAUAUUAUCUAAUAUCAUCAAAUCUCUGCAGAUGGAUUUGAAUCUUCAAAAUGAAGUUGACACAAUUAGCAGAAUAUGACUGUAUGCAUUCCACCUGGAGUAUGCUGUCAUCUCCCCAACAAAAUACACAAUAGAGUUACCUUUGAAAAUGUGGCGUCGAUAUCAUAGAUUGUCCUUAACAAAGAUUCCUUCAAAAUGUCCAUGUAAAUUGAUCCAUCAUAGAUCCUUGACAAUACCCAAUUAGACCUGCAAUUCCAGCAAAUCCAACACAUUUUGCCUUGUAGACUUCAGCUUGGUGAGCAAUGGAGAGAAUAUCCAAUAAGCCCAUUAUCAAAACCAAUACUGAUGAAUAGGCACAAGGUGAACAGGUGCACCUUUCAAUCUCGCCAUUUGAAUCAUCAAAUCCUUCAAGAAUUCUUUCUGGUUCUUUGUAUGGCAAUUUCUCAGCAGAUUUCUUUGACAAUAUGGAAUAUAUAUCAUCAAGAAGAAAAUACACAUGCAGAAGAAAAUAUUCUGGAAGAAGCUUAGAUGCCAUCUCACUGGCUUCAGCACCAUUAUGACCAUCAAAAACAGCAAUUAGAUCAACCUUAAUCUCCUUGCCCUCUCUCCUUCCUGUUGCAAAAUCAGAACAUAAAGAAAGGGAUAGUGUAAGGUUCAAAUAUAACAUUAUUUCAAUGAUAUCUACAUGCAAUUAGUGCAACUGCUUCAUUUGUCUCGGCUCUCUACAAAAUUACACGGUUAUUAGGAAAACUUACUUCAAGUCCAAAAAGAUUUAAAUAUUUCCAGUCGUUAGGCCAAGAGAUGCCAAUGAGUGAAUAUUGAGAAGAAGACAAAUGUGAUGCCGACAAGUUGAUGGCUACCGAGAGACAAACUGUAAGAUAAAAGCAAUUGCAAGCACAAGGUGUUUAACUUAGAUUUGAAGUCAAAUUCUCUCCAUUUGGAGAUAUUUAUCCCUUAUUCAAAGAAGGAGUACAAACUAAACUUGAGGCCAGAUAAAAUCGCAACCAAUUAGUUUCAAGCAUGCCAAAAUACUAAUGAAAUUUGUGGAUUUUUAGCACCUGUAUUUUCAUUCUGAUUUCUUCAAUAAAUUUUGCUACUUUAAGUCAAUAUUUUCUUCUCAUUUCCAUGCAGUGCAAAACGCAAUCAACUUGUUCUAUCUUCCACAUUUACAUGCUAUGAGAAAAUAAAAAGAGUAGCACAACCAACUAGCAGGCGAUGAGAGUCAGAGCAAAACUAGAUAUAAUUCAUUCGCCACUUCAACAAUUAAAACAGCCCAGGCAUACAAAAAUACUCAGAAAAAUGAAACAUUCAAGAAUCGAAACAUACAAGAAAAAAAGGAAAAAUGAUCAACUUCCAUUACAAAAUAAAGCAGAUAAAAUGAACAAAACGUGAAAACAAUUUUAAGCAAUGCAUACCAGGAAACGGAACUCGCAUAUCAAGAGCACAGAAAGCACGAUCCUCUUGGUGCCUCCUCCUACCCUGAGAGAUGGCUACCUGGCAAUUAGCCCUCGGCCUCUUCCUUUCAUCAUCGAGCCUCCAUCGAGAGCAUUUGUGCGACUGAAACACAGCCGGAGCCCCACCCUCAUUGUAGACCAUAACACAGGUCGAUGAUUCCCCAUAUACGAGUGCACACCGCCAAAUAAACAGCAAUAAAAUCCAUAGUAACGAAUUCGUCAUGAAGAAAUAGCUAAGAAGUAGAAAUUAGGGUUCCCGAGAAGAAACACAGAGGCAUAAUAACUUCUUCAAGAACAAAAGGACUGAAAACAACGUACUAAGACUUCAGUGAAAGGAACAAACACUCCAUGAUGAUCCCUUAAAGAUGAGAGUGAAAUUCUUAGGGUUUUUACUGGACGAGAUUCCUUUUUGUUUUUCCCAAAAUAGAAAAAGAGAUCCAUUUCUCAUUAACGUUUUGAAGAAAGUUCGGGAAAGAGCGGUCCGAGCCUGAAUUGACUGCCCGCCUUUUCCAGUCACUUGUUUUAAAGUGAACUGUUUAUUUCUCCGAAAUUUUCAAUUUCGCGCACGAAAUUUUAUACCUGAAUAUCGGGAAUUUCGGGUUUGGGCAAACACUAGCUAAAACCAGCGAUUAAACUAGGUCUAAGUCUUACCUCUAAAUGUAACGAACCCUCGCUAAACUGGGUCAUAUAAAUCUUUCAAACCUCGUUAAACCAGCAGUUAAACUGGGUCAACCUUACAAGAACGGGCAGGGCCAAGCCAAAUCGGAGGCAAGACCACAGUUUUAGGGAUCAAGUGCAAAUUUAGGGGGAUGGUGUCCUAAAGUUGAAGGGCUCUCAACCCUGCAUAAAUACCCAACGAACCUUCACUCUUGGCAUCUCUCAUCCCCUCUCCUUUUCCCCAAGAAAACUAAAUAACAAGAGCGAAGGGGUGAGAACUAAGAUUUUUUAAUUUUUUUUCAGAAUGGGGCUAAAGAUCGUUUUAUUUCUAUGCUUUUUGGGGGUUAGUACCUCCUUUGCACAACAAAUGUUCAAUGUGAAGGACUUCGGAGCAAAGGCUAGUCCCCAAAAUGAGGACACUCAGGUGAGAAUUGUAUUGUAUAUGCCACAUUCCUUUGUAUCAAGUGUACGUGGAUGUUACUAGUAUUGCAUAGAUAUAUUACUUUUAGCUGGUAUUGCAUAGAUAUAUUACUUUUAACUUGACCUUGCAUGCUUAUAUUUCGUAUUUCAUGAUGGACACAUUGUGUCGUUCGUGUGUCUCAAGUUAAAUGAAGAGGGUUUCACAAUUUUAUGCAUCAAACUUCUCGCAUGUAUCUAUAUUUUAGAUAUGGAUGCCCUCUCCUAAAAACCAAAAAUAGCGUUUCCAAAAAUUGACACCCACACUACACAACCUGGGAAUAGAACCCAGCCGUGGGCCAGGUACGGGUAACUUGGAACCAGUUUGUGUAGCUGGCCCUAACCGAACAGAUCUUUAUAGGGUUAAAAAAAUUUCAAAAAAUUCUAAAAAAAUAUGAAAACUAUGAUUAAAGUAUAAUUAAAUAAAAUACAUUUAAAUGAGAUUAAAAAAAUUGAUGAAAAAAAUAAUUUUUUAAAAGUCAAUUUGUGCCUAGUUGCAUUUUAGAAAUAAUCCAAAAAAGAAAGAAAAUAUAAAAAUAAGCGUUUAUCGCCCAAAUGCUUUUCAAUCUUUUCUAAAACAGUAGAAAACAUUUAAAAAACCUAUUACAAAUAAAUUUUUUAUUUUUUGGAUUUUUUACAGUAUUUUUAAUUUAUUUUUAAGUUCCUAGCUUAACCGCCAUAACCAGCCACGGCCGGUGGCCGGUUCCAGGUAACCCACCCUGUCGACCUGGCCAGUUGUGCUAAUGCCGGUGUCCAUCGAAUACUUGAUUAUUCAAGGGCGAGAAACUUUCGCAUACGACCCUUCCCCGAGGAGAAUGAAUCAUUCCUACAGUUUCUUGCCAUCUUUUUACUUAUGUGGAGGGUAUAAAGAAUGAGAAGCCCCCUCAUCUGCUGACCACGAAAGGGCUAAUAUCUGCAGUCCAUCAAGCAUUUUAAGACUUUUUGGUUAAGCUAGAUGGACGGUGGAGAUUAGCUUUUCUCUUGCGCCAAGUUCAUUACACCAUUCCUUUGUUUUCUUUGCCCAUGAAAACCAUGGAUCCUAAAUCUAUCCCCAUCACACACAUGGUUUUCUCAGCAAAGCAUAUGGCUUGGUCUCUCGGUCCAGUUUCAAACUUAUAAUAACUCAUAUAACACUUUUUUUUUUCAUGUUCAUAUAAAUUUUCACACAAUUAACACCAUUUAAAUUUUAUGUUUUAUUUGAGAUGUUAUUAACAUUUAAAUUUUAUAUUUUGUUUAGGCAUUCUUGGACACAUGGAAAGCUGCAUGUUCAUCGGGAGGGGAGGCGACGUUUUACGUCCCUGAAGGGACCUACUACACCGGGGCCCUGUCCUUCAUUGGCCCAUGCAAGAACCUUACGAGAAUGACCUUCACCGUUAAGGGUACCCUAAAAGCCUUCACCGACUUGGGUAAGUUUGCCAAAGACGGUGCAUGGAUCAUGUUCGGGUGGGUCAAUGACCUCACAGUCAACGGUGGUGGUGUCUUUGAUGGCCAAGGUACUGCAUCUUGGGGCAAAAACAAGUGUGGAAACCAGAAGUAUUGCAACCUUCUUCCCACUGUAAGUGGUUUAAACUUCUUUCUAAACAUUUUGAUUUGAUUUGUAAGCAUGGAAAUAGGAUCCAUUGGAGCAUGAAACAAGAGGAUCCUAGAGUUAAGCUGGGGGAGUUGCUGAUUCUAUUGUUUUGACAAGAUCAAUAGUCCAUCACAAGAGUUUUAGCUAACAAGGUGCACAUUUAAACCGGUCAUUCACGUUCCAAGAAUCGGAUUGACCUCACUUUCAAUUGUGUUCGGUUUUGCAGAGUUUAAAGUUCCAUGCUUCGAAAAAUGUAGUCCUCCAAGACGUGACCUCUUUGAACAGUAAGUUCUUCCACAUUGCUGUCCUGCAGUCCACAAACUUUAAGGUGACCGGCGUCACUGUCACCGCACCUGGGGACAGCCCGAACACCGACGGGAUACACAUUGAACGCAGUGUCGGUGUGACCAUCUCUCACACUAACAUCGGCACCGGGGACGACUGCAUAUCUAUCGGUGAGGGCAACUCCCAUGUCUCCAUCGACAACGUCAACUGCGGGCCUGGCCAUGGCAUCAGGUUGUUUUUUAUCCUCACUAGUGGCAAUUAGGGUUGUUUUUGCCAUUUCUGAAAAUGAGGAAAGACAUUACUGCCAUUUUACAAAAGCUUAUGAAAGAGGAAGGGCAUUAUUAUCAUUUUACAAAAGCUAAUGAAAGCCGUGGUAUUCCAUUUAAUAGCUGAAGUUGAGUAAUUUCCGUAUGAAUCUUAAAAUUUUAGGUAAAAUAUGAAAUGUUUCAUUUAUAGAUAGAAAUCACAAAGAAGGUCGGUCAACUUUUUUUUUUUUUUAAAUUACCUCUUAGUCAACCUAAAUUUUAUCUUUUAUUUUAAGCAGCGUUUUAAAAAACGCUGAGUCGAACUGGACUCGCCCGGUUCGACUCGGAAUUCGCGAAAAGGGACCGGAUCGGUUGAAAAAUCGGAAAUCGUCCGGUUCUAGAGAGAACCGGACGAUUCUGCACAGUGACUGGCCGAUUCACUGUACGGAAUCGGCUAGUCCGAACAGCGAAUCGGCGAGUCCGUUUACGGUUUUUUUUUUUUUUUUUUUUUUUUUUUUUUUUUGUAAUCCAUGAUUAGUAUUUUUUUGUAAUACUUGAUUCGUAUUUUUUUGUAAUCCAUGAUCGUAAUUUGUUUUUGUUUUUUUGUAAUCCAUGAUUCGUAAUUUUUUGGUUUUUUGUAACCCNNNNNNNNNNNNNNNNNNNNNNNNNNNNNNNNNNNNNNNNNNNNNNNNNNNNNNNNNNNNNNNNNNNNNNNNNNNNNNNNNNNNNNNNNNNNNNNNNNNNNNNNNNNNNNNNNNNNNNNNNNNNNNNNNNNNNNNNNNNNNNNNNNNNNNNNNNNNNNNNNNNNNNNNNNNNNNNNNNNNNNNNNNNNNNNNNNNNNNNNNNNNNNNNNNNNNNNNNNNNNNNNNNNNNNNNNNNNNNNNNNNNNNNNNNNNNNNNNNNNNNNNNNNNNNNNNNNNNNNNNNNNNNNNNNNNNNNNNNNNNNNNNNNNNNNNNNNNNNNNNNNNNNNNNNNNNNNNNNNNNNNNNNNNNNNNNNNNNNNNNNNNNNNNNNNNNNNNNNNNNNNNNNNNNNNNNNNNNNNNNNNNNNNNNNNNNNNNNNNNNNNNNNNNNNNNNNNNNNNNNNNNNNNNNNNNNNNNNNNNNNNNNNNNNNNNNNNNNNNNNNNNNNNNNNNNNNNNNNNNNNNNNNNNNNNNNNNNNNNNNNNNNNNNNNNNNNNNNNNNNNNNNNNNNNNNNNNNNNNNNNNNNNNNNNNNNNNNNNNNNNNNNNNNNNNNNNNNNNNNNNNNNNNNNNNNNNNNNNNNNNNNNNNNNNNNNNNNNNNNNNNNNNNNNNNNNNNNNNNNNNNNNNNNNNNNNNNNNNNNNNNNNNNNNNNNNNNNNNNNNNNNNNNNNNNNNNNNNNNNNNNNNNNNNNNNNNNNNNNNNNNNNNNNNNNNNNNNNNNNNNNNNNNNNNNNNNNNNNNNNNNNNNNNNNNNNNNNNNNNNNNNNNNNNNNNNNNNNNNNNNNNNNNNNNNNNNNNNNNNNNNNNNNNNNNNNNNNNNNNNNNNNNNNNNNNNNNNNNNNNNNNNNNNNNNNNNNNNNNNNNNNNNNNNNNNNNNNNNNNNNNNNNUACUGUAAAUUAAAUGCUGAAUGGCAGUUCAUGCAGGGAAAGAAUAUAUCAAUAUUCACAUUUUUAUUCAAAAACAUGAAAAUUCUUAAUGGAGUACCCUCAUUUUUUAUUGAAUUCCUAAAAAACAAUAUUUAUAAUGAAUUUUCAUAAGUUUUUCGAUUUUUUUUUAAGCUUUAUUCUGACCGAUUCACCUGAUUCUCGAUCCGGAUCGCCGAUUCGCCGAUCUGGAUCGGUUUUUUGGAAGUCGGAUCCUAGUCACCGAUCCGUUUUUUAAACCAUUGAUUUUACGGAUUGAAAUUGUAGGGCAGUAAAGCUUGGGGUACUGCCUUACUAAUGAAAGAACUAAAAAAGAACUUAAACAAAAAAAAUCAAAAUCAGAAUUGAUCGAAGGGUAAUUUUCAAAAAAAAAAAAGUGUUAGAUCAACCAUCUUUGUAAUUUAGUGGAGCAUUUUGCAUUUUACGUAAAAUUUUAAAUUCCAUACGUAAAUGACGCGCUGAACUUUAUUGUCUGGGCAAAUGAAAAAGGGAAGAUGCGGUAGGAAGUGUAUUGUUGUCAUUUGCGAAAUUUAAUAAGAUUUUUGUUUCUGGUUUGGUUUAGCAGAAACCUGGAAUAAUUGAUGUGAAAUUUUUUUCUCAUUUUGUUUUUUCACAUUAUUUAGUGUUGGGAGCCUCGGUAAGUAUCCUUAUGAGGGAGAUGUGGAUGGAGUUACGGUGACCUCAUCAACCUUUACAAAGACGAAGAACGGCAUCAGGAUUAAGUCAUGGCAGGGGAGUCCCAAAAAGACCCUCGCCAGGAACAUGACUUUCGACAAUCUGGUCAUGAACAAUGUUCAAAACCCCAUCAUAAUCGACCAAGAAUACUGCCCUAGCAAAAGAUGUGGAGCCCAGGUCAAUCUCUAUCUCUAAGCAACUCUCUUCUCUCUCUAAACAAGUUAAUCAACUCUCACUAAACAAGUUGGACAUCUCUCUCUCAUUUAGUUAAACAAUACAGACUCGUUAAACAAGAAUUCUCGACAUAAAAACACAGACACAAAGGGCUGAUCUGAUCUUUGAAUAGAAAAAACAAUGGACAUGCUGGGUUUUAAAUGAAUUGGCUUAUUAAAAAAAAAAUUUAUUAUCAUAAAGCUCAUCUUCAUUAUGAGAAAUGACCACCUUGCUCCAAAAUUACCGUUACUUAUAGGAAAAUCUUGAUUCAUUGGGCCUUUCGAUACAAUCAAAUAAAUUAAGCAAUCAUCCUCUGUUCUAAAUAAGUUAAGCAAAAACUCUCUGGCUCUCCGCAAAACAAGUAGAAAUUGGAACUUCACAAGGUUUAAGUUGUAGUGUUCUGAGCCCUCUCUCUACGUACUUUUCUAAUGCUCAAAGUCAUACACAACCAUUUUCUGAAUCCUCCAUGACACAGACACCAUCUUUGGUACAAAUCAAGGACGUAACCUUCAAGAACAUUAGGGGCACGGCUUCCUCAGAGAACGCAGUGACACUAACAUGCAGCUCUGGCUACCCUUGCCAAAACCUUGUUCUCGAAGACAUCAACUUCAAUUACGAUGGCUCUGCGACAUGGAACUAUGUAAAAGGUCACGAGAUUCCGGCGAAGGCCUUCUGCUCGAGCGUCAAGGCCAGCUACAAGGGAGUGCAAAUACCUCCCCCUUGCCAGUAGAGCGAGUACAAGGUGGUGGUUGCCUUAGUUACCAGACGCCUGAGGAGCGCAGAUGGCUAUUGAAGUGGUGGUGACCUGUUUUGUCCGCUCGUUUGGGUUCUCGAUUGGGAAUGAUUUUGGUAGCCAAGAUUUAGGAAAAAUGGUUUCUUGUGUCCUGGUGGAAGAUAUUUUUUUUUUUGUACUAUCCAGCCACUGUCCUUUUGCCCGAGUUUCUUGGUCUUAUAUACGAAUGCCUUGUUCUACAAUGUCGUAUGUGUUGCAUCUCUCUCUCUCUCUCCCCUCUUACUUUAGUUUUUCAAUUUUACUUAAAAUAAAAAUAGAGGGUAAAGAGAUAUUUUCUUUUAUAUAUUAUCAUUAUAUAUAUCUUUUUGUGCAUAAAAUUCUAUCAAUUUCAUAAAUGAGUUUUUUAUAACCAAAUAAAUUAAACUAUAGAUGGCUUGUUGGAUCCUCCCGGCACAAAUUGGAUGCAAGCUAUCAUACAACCAUCAGAACCAUUCUAAUGUACCAAAAGAGAGACCAACCAACAAAAUGUGAAACAAAGUGUGCAUUUAAUGUACCUAGAUAAUGGAGAGAGUGAGGAAGAAUAUGUGGACCUCAAAUUCUAUGCAUAAAGAUCAUGGCAAUUUCUUUGGCAAAAAGAAAGGCAAAGGAUACAAACCUUCCUUCCUCUAAACUGUGAACAGUUAUAGAAAUUGUAUUACUAUGAAUAGUUAUAAAAACUGUAUAUUCAUGAAUAAAUCCAUCAUUGUAAAUCAAGUUUACCUGCGUUCAAAUGUCCAAACUCAACUUGCUAUCUCUUAACUCAUCUAAGUUUGAGGGGGAGUGUGGAAAUAUAGAAACUUACACAUACGUUUAGAAACAAUAUUUUCUUCUUUUUAUGUGUACAAUAUUUCUUUCUUUUUAUGUAUACUUAUAUUAGGAAGAUAUUUCUGUUAUGUCAUUUAUUGUUCAAAUUCAAACGGCUUUGUGUCAAAUCAUCUCGAGUUUCAGAGAAGUGUGAACAAUUAUAAAAACUAUAUAGUAAACAGUUAUGGAAAUUGUGAACAUUCAUGUAUAAAUUUGCCAUAAAUCAAGUUUGGAAGAUAAUAGAAACAUUAUCUUCACAUAAACCUCCUCCAUAUUCAACAGUAUAUCAAAUUACAAGAAAGACCUUCUGUUAUAAACAUAGAUCGCUCAGAUUCCCGAGCCAAAGUGAAUCAAGAGUCUGGCAAUAUCGGGCCCAAAACAAUCCUUCAUGUCUCCCAAAUUUUAAGGUUUUUAAAAUUUUUUCUGAUAUAUACUCCUAUUGACUCAUAAAUCACCCAAUUCAGAACAAGAGAGUGGGAAUCGAGGUAGCGUGUAGGGCUAAGAAUUUUCCCUAAAGUCCAAUUUUCCCUUCAUGUAUAAGUGAUGGACAAGUUGGAUUCCUCUCUGUACUAAGAAGAGGUUAUUCCCUAUCUUUGCAGCACCUUCUAGAAGUUUGGUGAUCAGUCUCCUUGUUACGACUUUUUGGAUACUUACGGUUUGUAACUUUGCAUGAAAAAAUUGAUGAUCCUAAGACCAGCUUUAUGCCAUUCUCCAAAUUUUCUUGUCCGUCGCUUAUUUUUGGACGCAAUGAAUGGGAAUUCAAUGCAUAUGAGAGAGAGAAAAAUUUAGGGAUAGAGAAAGAAAAUAAAGAUAGUUCUUAUAAGUUUAGAGAGAAAAGAUGAGAAAAAGUAGAUUUAAAUAUGAUUCUAAUAGGAGAUAAGAUGAGAAAAAGUAGACUUAAACAGAUUGGGUGGGCAUGUACAACAUAGACCUAGACUCAGUACAACACUUAUUGAGACGUAUGAGUUGAUUCAAAAAAACAAUGGGUAUAUCCAAAAGGACAUGAUUGAAAUGAGUGAUAAAAGAUAUACGAACUUAUAAUUUCACUAAAGGUAUAAUGCUUAAUAGAGCAUAUUGACAAAUUAGAAUUCGUGUAGCCAACCUCAAUAGUUGGAAAAAGAUUAUAAUGAUGAUGACAAUCAUAGCAACGCAAAAAUGCUAAUCAACGCCGCUAGUAAACGUACAAAAAAUAAAAAUAAAAAUUUGCCCUCUCAUAACUUCGAAAUGAAAAAAAAAAAAAAAUUAAAGGAUCCUACAAUUUUUCACCCUAUAUCUGGCAUAAAUGCAUUUUAUUUUGUUUUCGAGUUUUGCGUAAGAGAGAGAAAUGGUCACCACACUCACCACCAACCAAAAACGCAUCAUUGCCUCUUAUUGAUUCAAUGACUGCAACAGCAUCACUUUAGUAUUUUUAAAAUAAAAAUGAUGGAUCGAAUCAGUCAUCCACGCAGGAUUGGUGACCUGGCUAGGCCAAUUUUUUAAAAAAAAUUAAAUAAAAAACAAUCAUCUAAAGUUGAAAAUGUUUAAAUAAAUUCUUAAGACAAUGAUUACAAAUAAUAGAUAUUUUUAUUAAGAAAAAAUUUAUAUAUGGUUGUAACAUGUAAAGAUACACCUAAAAAAUCCAUCAUAAAAUGUUGUUUUAAUGUUGGAUGUAUGAAUAUGAAAAAAAAAGAAAAAAAAGAUUGAUUUCCAAAUAUAGUGCAUAUUACAACACAUUAUCUAGAUCGUCUAUUUUCAAAAUUUUUAUAUAUUUAUAAAUUUACUUGAUUUUUACUAUUUUUGGAGUUUAACAUUUUAUAGUUAAAAAUAAAAAUAGGUUUUAAAAACUUUUUACACCAAAUUAUACGGUAUGAUAAAAUUUGGAAGUGUGCCUUAAUUGGAUUGUUUAAGGUGGCAACCAAUUCCCAGUCCAUUCGCGCGAAUCCAGAAUUGGGGAUAAAAUGGGACCGGUUACUUGUGAGUUCCAAUUCGACUAGGGCAGUUAGGAGUCAAACUCCCGAUUUUUCAAACACUAGCGCAAUGGCAUCUUGCGUACCGACUUACAAACGAGGAACUUGGAGGGAAUUUUCGAUUUUAAAUAUAUGAAGUCUACACCAUAUUCUAGGCCCACGGUGGCCCGGCCCUGGCUACCCUCCCGCUAUAUUUUGUGGCACAGGCCCUAGUUUCUUUAGGGCUUGGCCGAGACAGGUCAACCAAUCCACUGUAGGCCCUAAUCAAUCCCCAUUGAAGCUGGCCAGUUCGGUCCAAUUGUUAAAUGACUUGCAUAAAGGUUCAGGAGAGGCGGUAGUGUGGUUUUAUUUUCCAAAUCUUACAAGAUAAAACUUCUAUGUUACCCUUAUUCGAGCAUCCAUUCUGAAUUGAGAGUUAAAAUUGUCCCAAUCACAAUGUCACGUCUCAUACUAUUUUAUUUUUCAUUUUUUUUCUAUAAACUAAUUUAACAUGAAGUCCAAUCCUCUAUUGAACUCGCACCAGCGAAAAAUAUAUAAAAAAUAUAUUUCUAAUAAAAUAAAAUGAUCAAAAUACUCUUGAAAGUUUCAAAAGGUAUUUUGGUCAAUAUAUUUUAUCAAAAAAUUAUUUUUAAUAUUUUUCAUAAGUGCGCCCCAAUUAAAAGAUGACAUAUGCCAAAUUUCAUAUUCAUACAAUUGGUAUAAAAAAACUAAAAAUAAAAUACUUUGAUACAUGAAAUGUAAGAUCAAACAUUGAGGGACUCUCUUGAUAAAAACUAAACCUCUGAAUAGUAAAAGAAGCAUAGAUCUUCUAUGGACUCUCUUGAUAAAAAUUAAACCGUUGAAUAGUAAAAGAAGCAUAGAUCUUCUAUGUUGUAGGAGGGGAAAUGUAAAAACCUUUCCCUUCUUACAAUGCGUGAAAUUGGGGAAAGGUAUUUAGUUUCACCACGUUUUCAAAAGGUAGCUUCUUGAGAGAAACGCUUAUUGCAAUGUAUGGCGUAGGCAUGGGUCAACCCAAAUUCCAAACCACUAUUUCUAGCCGACGAAUCUCAUCAGCAUUUGGCGAGCUUGCAAUUGUAAAAAAAACUGUUUGCCCAUACUAGGAAUUUUGGGUAAAGGAGAAAAAAAACAUAGGUUUCUGUUUCUCAUUCAUUUUCUCCUGUCAAAAUGAAAGCUGAAAAGCCCAUUUGGCAAUUUCUUACCCACUAAAGCAUCUAGAGUCAUUCAACCAUUAAUGUUUUCCAUGAUUAACAAUUCACGGUGGUCCCCAUAACCGGAGACCAUCGCAAUCAGCUCAUAAGGUCGCAUAUCAUGAACCACACCAAAACAUAGUGCAUGAAAAAAUGCCCAUUCAAACUGGAACCACUGGGGCCCAAUCGGAACUGGUGGGCUGGCGAUCUUGUUAUGGGAAAACCGGUAAUCAUCUAAUUCCCGGGAUUUUUGAAGAAAGAAAAUAAAUCUCAUCUGUACACCGGUUCGACUUAGAAAUCACUGGAGUUGCACCACAAUACCCGGAAACAAUCUUAAUGGUUCAGGGUACACUGGUGAAACCACAAGGAAUAAUAGGAUUCCAAGCAAAAAAGUGAACCCCUUGAUCACAAUCAUUUACCCAAAACCCGUACCGCAUCCAGCCACUAUAAUAGAUAUAAAUAUAUUAAGCUUAAACAGCAACCUCAAACCAUAAAAAGAUGUUGACAUAGAGAUCAAGCACUAGCGCGUUUAAGAAAGAAAAUCCAUUAAAGGAGCCAAGCAAGAAGUAUGUAGCAAAACAUCACUAUUAUAUAGUAAAGUUUCACAAAGACUUCAGGCAUACAUAUUAUUAUUUUAUGCUUAUUUUCACAAGACUUCAAGCAUACAUAUUAUUAAUAAAAUGUCACUGAGUUAUAUGGGAAAUGAUAAAGCGCGCACACACAUUUAUAGGACACCUAAAAGAAAAAGCCAAGCCAAGUGCCUCUAUUGUGCCGUAUUAAUGUGCUUCUACAGCAUGACUGCCCUGAUCCUUCUCGAUAAAAGCUUCAACAUAUUGCUUUCUGCGAUCCAAUGCAUAAUGCAUAAGCAUCAAUCCCCAUCUUGAGCAAAAUCUUGUAAAGCUUGUAAAGUCCAGAAGAGAAGCUAAGUUACCUGAUAGGGUGGUCAUCUUGAGGGCGGUUGUAUGGGGUCCAUACAGGUUCACCAACAAAUAAACGCAGGGCCUGUACAAAAAGAGCAAUCAACCAAAUAUCAUAAAACGAAAAAUGAGGCCCACUCUCCAAAAUUUAAGUUGGUAUUCUAAUAUGAAAUAAUAAAGGUAAAAUAAAAUGUUCUAUUUAUAAAACAAGAGAAAUGAAUAAUUUAUAAGGGUUUAAUACUUUGGUAUGGUUGUCGGAAUCCAUGGUGAACCGAUGAUAGAUUCCCGCUGGUAACACAAUCAUGUCUCCUUUCUUCACCCAAAUACGAAUCCAACGGUCAUUGUUGUCCCUAACGUCAAAAUAACCUGCAACAAUUAAACAAUACAGAGCACAUCAUAUUAAUAUCUAAUAUAGAUAUUGCAUAUAUCAAUCACACCCUGCUAUGUCUUCAAAUUCAGUAACUUUGAUCAAUCAACCUAUAUGUCUAUGUCUAUGUAUGAACAGAUGUGUAUUUGGGUGUAACCACAACAAACAAAGAAUCAUUCCAAGUGUUUGCCUCCUAGCAUAGUAGUUAAACAAUGUCACAGGUGACAAGUAAAAUUACACAUAAAAAAAGAAUAACAAUAAACAAUAAAUAAAUAAAACAAGAAAUAAAUAAAAAAUAAUUCCCAAGUUCUUAUCUGCAGAUUGAUUGAAUCUUCUAUUUCGUUCAAAGUAUACAGUGCACAGAUUAGAGGACACAUACCACUUCCCUCCAAAAGAAAGCGGAUCUCUUCAUCAGUAUGAAUAUGCUCUUCAUAAAAAGAUUUCAACUUGCACUCAUAGUUUGGCAACUUAUCUGGGCAGCACGUGAUCAAAUCCUACAAUCAAAACCAUAAUCACAUUCAGUCUACAACACUGACCCCCUACCCUGCAAGCCCUAUCAUCUAAUAUUGGGGUAUGUUAAUGUGUUCAAGAGACAAACUGAAUAAGUAUAGCCCCUGGAUUCUCGUAUCUUGUUGAACUCUUCAUCAGUUUCAUAGUUAUCAGCAUCCAAAUGCCAGUAGAGAACACCUAGCUCUAAAAAAGGCCAAAAGCAAAGCAAAUUUUAGUUAUGAAUAUGGAGAUACAUUGAAAUUCUGGAUUGAAAGGAAGUAUGCAAAGCAAGACAUGCACCUGCUAGUUUGUCCAAAGAAACGUACUCAGGAGGAUCACAAUGGUGGGGAAGUCUCUGGUCCUCAUCGGUCUCGUUCAUGUACCAGGCCUGGAUGGUUGCCUCACCCUGUCACAAGAAGAAAUUCUCACAAACAUCAUCAAGAGCUAAUGAUGGGAAAUAGCCAAGUACAAACACAAGAAUAAACAUGACUUUCUCAAACUUUAGUUGUCUAUUCUACAUAUAUUAAGCCACAAUUAAAGGUAGGACGCAUAGCAUUGAGCCAAAUAUGGACACCUGCCUAAACAAGACUUUCCAUGGGGCAGGCCUGGGCCCGAAAGCAAGAAACAACAGCUAGCGCGAAAGCCGUUGCGCUAAAGCGCAUCUGUUUUCUUGCUUGUCUUCACUGGCUCGAAAGCACUCAAACUUUAGUUGUCUAUUCUACAUAUAUUAAGCCACAAUUAAAGGUAGGACGCAUGGCAUUGAGCCAAAAAUGGACACCUGCCUAAACAAGACUUUCCAUGGGGCAGGCCUGGGCCCGAAAGCAAGAAACAACAGCUAGCGCGAAAGCCGUUGCGCUAAAGCGCAUCUGUUUUCUUGCUUGUCUUCACUGGCUCGAAAGCACUCAAACUUUAGUUGUCUAUUCUACAUAUAUUAAGCCAUAAUCAAGGGUAGGAUACAUGGCAAUGAGCCAAAAAUGGACACUUAAGAGAAACUAGCAGGUGCAUGUCUUCCUUUUAUAGAGGUAACUAGUAGGUGCAGGUGCAUGUAUCAAGGAAUAGGUUUUAGGAUCUCAUCCAUCUUGCUAAGUUAGUAAUUCAUAAAUUUGAUUGGUUUAUAGAUAUAAAUAUAGGGUUCUUACUUUAAGAAGAUAACUUCUUUUCUAUUAUUACUUUAAGAAGAUAACUUCUUUUCUAUUAAGAACAUUUACCAUGUUUUUACCACCAAACAAUACAUGCACAACAUACAAGGAAAGAAAAGAGCACAAAAAAGGACAAGACAACUCAUAAGUGUCUAUACCACGUCAACAGUACUUGAAAAUUCAAUUCUUGCUCCUGUACAAUUUUAUCCUUAAAGUAAACAAAGGGAAUAUGGAGGCUGAUGCAGCAAUGAAUGGGUCAGCCGAUGUAUUGAGUAAUAAUUUAGGAUAAAUUAUAUAAAGGAGCUUCAUUUGAACAUUUGACAGAAGAAUCAUGUGAAAAGUACAAAGCUGAAGAGGAAUUAUGUUGUCAACAUGCAUGCAAUAGAAAGUUAAGAUAAUUAGAAAGGCUAUACAAGGACAUAAAUGUCUGAAAUGACAAAAAGACAUACAAAAUUGAUUAUUACUAUACUAUCAUAUUGAAAUUUGCAGAGUGCACCACCCCAAAACAUCAAUGUGCUCAAGUACAAGUAAAAGAUUUGGCAUCCCCAUUGAUUAGUAAAGUUCAACUUCAAACAAAUCCAUAGAAGCUCCAUUUAUCAUCGUCAUCUAAGCCUUAUCCCAACUAUUUGGGGUAGGCUAUAACAUAGGUUCAGGAUAAUACACACACACAUACAGACUCACAGAGAGAGAGAGAGAGAGAGAGAGAGAGAGAGAGAGAGAGAGCUACAAUACACUCUAGUAACUACUUACUAACGUCCUGUUAGAUACAAACUAAGUAAAUUACACGACCAAGAACUAAACCCUAACCCCUACCCACCCUNNNNNNNNNNNNNNNNNNNNACGUACGACGUAGACUACGACGUACGACGACGAGAGAGAGAGAGAGAGAAGACAGAGACAGAGANNNNNNNNNNNNNNAGUAGAGAGAGAGAGAGAGAGAGAGCUCCAAAUACACUCUUGAAACUAUUCUAAGCCUGUUGAUCAAACUAGAAAAUUCAGCCAGAUAACAACCCCUCACUCCCCAACAGGCACAAAAUAAUGAACGGAAUUUGACAAAGCAUAACACCCACAAAACACAAUACUAGGACUCCUUGUCCAACUCGCCACACUAAUGAGGUAAAAAUUUUGCAUUAGAAAUAAUAUUUUGAUAAUUC